rnacentral:lncRNA from 1 species
CUUUGUUAGCUCCCUUUGGAUCGACAAAACCUUCUGUUUGCAUCAUAUACAACUCUUCUUCCAGAAAUCCAUUCGGGAAUGCAGUUUUGACAUCCAUCUGCCAAAUUUCAUAAUCAUAAAAUGCGGCAAUUGCUAACAUGAUUCGGACAGACUUAAGCAUCACUACGGGUGAGAAGGUCUCAUCGUAGUCAAUCCCUUGAACUUGCCGAAAACCUUUUGCGACAAGUCGAGCUUUGUAGACAGUAAUAUUACCGUCAGCGUCAGUCUUCUUGUUGAAGAUCCAUUUAUUCUCAAUUGCUUGUCGAUCAUUGGGAAAGUCAACCAAAUUCCAUACUUUGUUCUCAUACAUGGAUCUCAUCUCAGAUUUCAUGCCUUCAAGCCAUUUUGCGGAAUCUGGGCUCACCAUCGCUUCUUCAUAGUUCGUAGGUUCAUCAUGAUCUAGUAGCAUGACUUCCAGAACAGGUUUACCAUACCACUUUGGCGCGGAUCUCACUCUGGUUGAUCUACGAGGUUCAGUAGUAUCUUGUUCUGAAGUUUCAUGAUCAUUAUCAUUAGCUUCCUCACUAAUUGGUGUAGGUGUCGCAGAAACAGGUUUCUGUGAUGUACUACUUUCUAAUAAGGGAGUAGGUACAGUUACCUCGUCAAGUUCUACUUUCCUCCCACUCACUUCUUUCGAGAGAAACUCCUUCUCCAGAAAGUUUCCGAAUUUGGCAACAAAAGUCUUGCCUUCGGAUCUGUGAUAGAAGGUGUAUCCAAUAGUUUCCUUUGGAUAUCCUAUGAAGACACAUUUCUCCGAUUUGGGUUCGAGCUUAUCAGGUUGAAGCUUUUUCACAUAAGCAUCGCAGCCCCAAACUUUCAGAAACGACAACUUGGGUUUCUUGCCAAACCACGGUUCAUAAGGCGUCGUCUCAACGGAUUUUGAUGGUGCCCUAUUUAACGUGAAUGCGGCCGUCUCUAGAGCGUAUCCCCAAAACGAUAGCGGUAAAUCAGUAAGAGACAUCAUAGAUCGCACCAUAUCUAGUAAAGUACGAUUACGACGUUCGGAUACACCAUUACGCUGUGGUGUUCCGGGUGGCGUGAGUUGCGAAACUAUUCCACAUUGUUUCAAAUGUACACCAAACUCGUAACUCAAAUAUUCUCCUGCACGAUCAGAUCGUAGGGAUUUUGUUUUCUUGUUACGAUGAUUUUCAACUUCACUCUGAAAUUCUUUGAACUUUUCAAACGUUUCAGACUUGUGUUUCAUUAAGUAGAUAUACCCAUAUCUUCUUAAGUCAUCUGUGAAGGUGAGAAAAUAACGAUAUCCGCCACGAGCCUCAACAUUCAUCGGACCACAUACAUCUGUAUGUAUGAUUUCCAACAAAUCUGUUGUUCUCUCCAUAGUACCGGAGAACAGUGUUUUUGUCAUCUUACCCAUAAGGCAUGGUUCGCAAGUACCAAGUGAUUCAUAAUCAAGUGGUUCCAAAAGCCCAUCAGUAUGGAGUUUCUUCAUGCGCUUUAUACCGAUAUGACCCAAACGGCAGUGCCACAAAUAAGUUGCACUAUCAUUAUCAACUCUGCAUCUUUUGGCUUCAACACUAUGAAUAUGUGUGUCACUACUAUCGAGAUUUAAUAAGAAUAGACCACUCUUUAAGGGUGCAUGACCAUAAAAGAUAUUACUCAUAUAAAUAGAACAACCAUUAUUCUCUGAUUUAAAUGAAUAACCGUCUCGCAUCAAACAAGAUCCAGAUAUAAUGUUCAUGCUUAACGCUGGCACCAAAUAACAAUUAUUUAGGUCUAAUACUAAUCCCGAAGGUAGAUGUAGAGGUAGCAUGCCGACUGCGAUCACAUCGACUUUGGAACCAUUUCCCACGCGCAUCGUCACCUCGUCCUUAGCCAAUCUUCACUUAAUCCGUAGUCCCUGUUUCGAGUUGCAAAUAUUAGCAACAGAACCAGUAUCAAAUACCCAGGUGCUACUGCGAACAUUAGUAAGGUACACAUCAAUAACAUGUAUAUCACAUAUACCUUUGUUCACCUUGCCAUCCUUCUUAUCCGCCAAAUACUUGGGGCAGUUCCGCUUCCAGUGACCAGUCUCCUUGCAGUAGAAGCACUCAGUUUCAGGCUUAGGUCCAGGUUUGGGUUUCUUCUCUUGAGUAGCAACUUGCUUGAUAUUCUUUUUGAAGUUCCCCUUCUUCUUCCCUUUGCCCUUUUUCUUGAAACUAGUGGUAUUGUUGACCAUCAACACUUGAUGCUCCUUCUUGAUUUCUACCUCCGGAGCUUUCAGCAUUGCGAAGAGCUCGGGAAUAGUCUUAUUCAUCCCUUGCAUAUUAUAGUUCAUCACGAAGCUCUUGUAGCUUGGUGGCAGUGAUUGGAGAAUUCUAUCAAUGACGCAAUCAUCUGGAAGAAUAACUCCCAAUUGAAUCAAGUGAUUAUUAUACCCAGACAUUUUGAGUAUAUGCUCACUGACAGAACUGUUCUCCUCCAUCUUGCAGCUAUAGAACUUACUGGAGACUUCAUAUCUCUCAAUCCGGGCAUUUGCUUGAAAUAUUAACUUCAACUCCUGGAACAUCUCAUAUGCUCCAUGACGUUCAAAACGUCGUUGAAGUCCCGAUUCUAAGCCGUAAAGCAUGGCACACUGAACUAUCGAGUAGUCAUCCGCUUUGCUCUGCCAGACGUUCAUAACAUCUGGUGUUGCUCCAGCAGCAGGCCUGGCACCCAGCGGUGCUUCCACGAUGUAAUUCUUCUGUGCAGCAAUGAGGAUAAUCCUCAAGUUACGGACCUAGUCCGUGUAAUUGCUACCAUCAUCUUUCAACUUUGCUUUCUCAAGGAACGCACUAAAAUUCAAUGGAACAACAGCACAGGCCAUCUAUCUACAAUCAAACAUAAAUAAGCAAGAUACUAUCAGGUACUAAGUUCAUGAUAAAUUUAGGUUCAAUUAAUCAUAUUACUUAAAGAACUCCCACUUAGAUAGACAUCCCUCUAAUCCUCUAAGUGAUUACAUGAUCCAAAUCAACUAAACCAUGUCCGAUCAUCACGUGAGAUGGAGUAGUUUCAUUGGUGAACAUCACUAUGUUGAUCAUAUCUACUAUAUGAUUCACGCUCGACCUUUCGGUCUCCGUGUUCCGAGGCCAUAUCUGUAUAUGCUUGGCUCGUAAAGUAUAACCUGAGUAUUCCGCGUGUGCAACUGUUUUGCACCCGUUGUAUUUGAACGUAGAGCCUAUCACACCCGAUCAUCAUGUGGUGUCUCAGCACGAAGAACUUUUGCAACGGUGCAUACUCAGGGAGAACACUUCUUGAUAAUUAGUGAGAGAUCAUCUUAUAAUGCUACCGUCAAUCAAAGCAAGACAAGAUGCAUAAAAGAUAAACAUCACAUGCAAUCAAUAUAAGUGAUAUGAUAUGGCCAUCAUCAUCUUGUGCUUGUGAUCUCCAUCUUCGAAGCACCGUCGUGAUCACCAUCGUCACCGGCGCGACACCUUGAUCUCCAUCGUAGCAUCGUUGUCGUCUCCCCAAUCUUAUGCUUCCACGACUAUCGCUACCGCUUAGUGAUAAAGUAAAGCAUUACAGCGUGAUUGCAUUGCAUACAAUAAAGCGACAACCAUAUGGCUCCUGCCAGUUGCCGAUAACUCGGUAACAAAACAUGAUCAUCUCAUACAAUAAAAUUUAGCAUCAUGUCUUGACCAUAUCACAUCACAACAUGCCCUGCAAAAACAAGUUAGACGUCCUCUACUUUGUUGUUGCAAGUUUUACGUGGCUGCUACGGGCUUAAGCAAGAACCAAUCUUACCUACGCAUCAAAACCACAACGAUAGUUUGUCAAGUUGGUGCUGUUUUAACCUUCGCAAGGCCGGGCGUAGCCACACUCGGUUCAACUAAAGUUGGAGAAACUGUCACCCGCUAACCACCUUUAUGCAAAGCACGUCGGGAGAACCGGUCUCGCGUAAGCGUACGCGUAAUGUCGGUCCGGGCCGCUUCGUCCAACAAUACCGCCGAACCAAAGUAUGACAUGCUGGUAAGCAGUAUGACUUAUAUCGCCCACAACUCACUUGUGUUCUACUCAUGCAUAUAACACUGAUACCACUGUUGGGGAACGUAGUAAUUUCAAAAAAAUUCCUACGCACACGCAAGAUCAUGGUGAUGCAUAGCAACGAGAGGGGAGAGUGUGAUCUACGUACCCUUGUAGACCGACUGCGGAAGCGUUAGCACAACGCGGUUGAUGUAGUCAUACGUCUUCACGGCUCGACCGAUCAAGCACCAAAACUACGGCACCUCCGAGUUCUAGCACACGUUCAGCUCGAUGACGAUCCCCGGACUCCGAUCCAGCAAAGUGUCGGGGAAGAGUUCCGUCAGCACGACGGCGUGGUGACAAUCUUGAUGUACUACCGUCGCAGGGCUUCGCCUAAGCACCGCUACAAUAUUAUCGAGGACUAUGGUGGAAGGGGACACCGCACACGGUUAAGAAUAUGAUCACGUUGUCGGGGGAAACUGAUCCACCAACACCUAUGGGGACAGGGCCCCUUUCGGUUCGGAGGGGGGCGGUGGCCGCACAAAGAGCGGAUCGAGGCAGUACACGCGAGCAGUUUUACCCAGCUUCGGGCCGCACGGAUGCGUAAAACCCUACUGCUGCUUGUUUGUGUGUAUUGAACUCUUGCUCAGGAGCGAUGGACGCUGCCAGACUGAGCGUGAGAGUGUUCCUGAUGUUUCCAAUGAGGCGAACCCCUUCUACGUUGCGCUUGGGCCUCCUUUUAUACUUUCAAGGGGUCACCGACAGGUGGCAACGUACACUGGAAGGGUAAAAAAAUGGAAAAGGAUGCGGUAGGUGCAGCUACCGCUACUGUGGACACAGUGCACCCUACCUAACUCUGACGGCAGGGGACAAGGUCAUUGAAUGCCCGUCUGAGUUGCCUAAACAGUGCAAAAAGUGACCGUUAGGAGCGCCACCGUUUGCCACGUUGGCCUUCUCUUCAUCUCCGCUUGCCACCGCGUACCCCUGGCUGCACAGGCUCUCGCCACGCGCCCCUGAGGAAGCCUCAUGGCGACACGCGGGCGGGUGCGCUGGAGCGCGGGUAUGGGGUGGCAGCUGGCCCCCGGCAAGUACCUUGCCGGGGUCGUCGUCUUGUCGCGUCCGGAAGCUUGUCGCUCGCCGGAUCUUGCCGGGACGUGUGGUACGUCGCGGUAAGUUUCUUGUGGCGCCUUGGCUGGCCUUCCCGGCAAGCUCCUCUUGCCGGAGUCUUGUCUCUUCAUCUUAAAUACUUUGUUCUUGAAGGGGCUCCAAGGGAACCCACGGAGGACCCUGGCGGUCGUUCGGCAAGCCUUGCCGCGGGGCCCUGCAACUGUCCGUGCACGAGUUCGGGAUACUAGGGUACCCCUACUAUAGUACACCGACAGGAGCCCCCGGGCCUGGGCCAUACACGGUGCCGAGUGUUGUUGGGCCAGGCCCAAAACAGGGCACUGGCACGCGCGGGCCUGGGUAUGCCGAAUCUAACUCCGUAUCCACUGCACCCCCCGCAACGGCACGCGUCAAUCACGGCGCCGUGGGGGAGAUCGUGGGUGGUUCUUUAUUCGGAAAGAGCGCAACGUCCGCCCCUCCUCCUUAUAAGCAGGGGAAACAGGGGUAUUUCCCCUAUCUUCGUCAUUCGCUGCUGCAAUCUCAGAAACCUCCGCCGCCCUCCUCCGCUUCCAAAGUCGAAAGAGAGCAGCGCUCCGCUCCCGUCGCCGCCGCCACUACCAGCGCCGUCGAUCUCCCCCACCGCCUCCGCCAUGGCUCCGAAGCCCGGAAAGGGGAAGGCCGCGAAAGCUGUGAAGUCGACCGAAGCGCAGCGGCUUGAGGCGCUGCGGAAAGAGCGGGCCACCUUCCUCCCCGAGCUCUCCGCAAAGGAUCUGAGGGAGUGGUACUAUCUCUUCUGGUCGACGGAGACACGGGCGCAUCCGCGCACAAAGGUACUCUCCGCCAUCACCUCGCAAGAAGCUCCAGUUGGUGGGUACCCUUUCUUUGCCGUGUUCUUCUACUGCGGGCUCUGCCCGCCAUUCUCUGAUUUCUUCUGUGAUAUCAUGAACACCUACAGGCUCCACCUCCUUGAUUUUACCCCCAACGCCGUCUUGACCAUGGCAGUCUUCGCCCAUCUAUGCGAAAACUUUGUCGGAGUCCACCCCAACGUAGAUCUCUUCUGCCAUUUCUUCAUGCCCCGUGUCUAGAGAGGGGAAACCCUUGCCGGGGGGAUCGCCUGGAUCUCGCGAGCCGGCAAGAAGGAGACCUAUCUGGAGGGGGAGCUCCGCAGCAAGUGGGAUGAGUGGAGAGCAAACUGGUGCUGGGUUGUAGAGGAGAACCCGCAGCCGUUCACUGCCCUGCGCCAAGCUCCAGCAGUGCGAGGCAAUGAUUGGAGCGCUCUGUCCGCGGACGAUGACAAGUUGAAGAUCGCCACCACCCGGAUCUUGCGCCUCAGGCUUGCCGGGUUGACUGUAGGAGCUGUCGGCGCAGAUUUCCCCCGCCGCAUCGCCCCUCUGCAGGCGAAGGGGAGACCCGCCUGGGAAAUUGGAGGCCCGGCAGACAUCAUGAGGUUGCACCCAGGCCUCAACUUCAAUUUCACCGUCAUAGAAUUGGACGGGAUACUUAAGGAAAUAUUCAAGCACGACCCGCAGCAUCCCGAGUGGUUCAGGUUGCCGGCAGGCGUUGUGCCUCUGUGUAACAACUCCUCGCGCGACCGCAUCUGCGCAAUGAUGCCGUUGUGUGACUCGCACGGGAUCGCUCCAACUUGGCAAGAGCCCGCCGGCGACGUCGUGCAGCAGUUAUUCGACAGCCUAGUGGAGGUGGCGGUCAAUGCUGACGAGAAGAAGCUCCUCACCCGCGACACCACUGAUCAAGAGAUGGAGCGCAUCGCCACCAGGGCGGAAGAGGCGGCGGCAGCCGCGGCCGCGGGUGAAUUCGGGUUCACCGUGGAGGAAGCGGACGCGGCGUUGGCGAUGAGUCUUGCCAAACGGGAGCAGCCCGAAGAGGAAGAAGAGCUCGCCGCGCCCGACGCCGAGUCGAACGAGCCCGCCGAAGGUGCAAGCGGCCCGCCAUCUCCGAGGAGCUUGCCGCGAGCAGGGCCCACAGCGCAGCCCCCAGCGCAGCCAAGAAGGCGCCUCCGCAGGGUCGGCGACGUAGCAAGGCGGCAAGUGGGCCAACAGCCGCAGCAUCGUGCGACGCACUCUACCGCGGCAAGUACGGUUGCCGCGGGAGCGCCUCCUGCCGCAGCGACAACUGAAGCGGGGCCGUCUCGGGCUGGCGCUGCAGUCCCCGCCAAGCGGCCAAGGGAUCCCACCCCUCCACCUCGUCGCGCCGGGGGUGGGCCGAACUUCGACCUCUCCGCGCUCAGCUCCGACGAGGAGGAAGAAGAAGAAGAGUAAGAUUCCCUUGCUUGUUCUUGUAGUUCUUCAACUUGCUGAUCUUGUCUUGCAUCGGAUCUGAUCCACCCUGGGCUCUUAUUUUCAGGACUCUGGCCCAGAGGGCGGCGGAGAGGGCCAAGGCUCAGGUGGUGGUCAUCGAGGACGAGCCCACUGCGACGACAGGAGGCGCGCCCGAGACCACCUUGCCGGAUCCGGCCAUCACUUCGCAGAGCAGCCCCCAGCGCAGCCCCCAGCGUAAGCAUAUGGUUUACUUUCUGCUUUUGGGUGCACGUGGUUGCUCUUUUCCUUUGUUGACAUCUGAUCACUGGUUUGUUUGUGCAGGAGCAGAACAGCUUCAUCAGGAGGGCGUGGUGAUCUCCUCUGACUCGUCGUCUGCUUCGACUACGCCACCAAGGGUGGACCCCCCGGCAAGGGAGCGUCCUCCGGUAAGGGAGGAGCCUCCGGCAAGGGAGGAGUCUCCGGCAAGGGACAGCGCUAACGAUCCGCCGGUGGUGGAGGUCAUGACAGCAGAUCCUAGCACAGGUAGUCCUUCUUGCCCGAAACUUUCCUUGUAGUCUUCUGCUGAUUUCUCUUCUCGGAUACUUGUUUGAUUUCUCCUUCUUCUCCGGUUGUCAGACCCACCCUCCGCGGAUCCGAUGGAGACCGAGGCGGGCGGCGAGGAGGACGCGCGCGGCAAUAUUGAUGAUGCCGCGGCCACCGAAGAAGGAGCCGGCGCUGACGUGCCCGCCGGCGAAGAGGCCGCCAAGGCUGCUGCCGAAGAAGCUGGCGGGGGAUCUGGCAAUCGCACUGACGGUCCUGAGACCGCAGGAGCUCCAGGCGCUGCACUGACCGCCGAUCCCUCCGCUGCUGCCGCGGCGGCAGACUCCGAGGAGUCCCAGCCCGACGCCUAUCUGAAGGCCGGCGAGGGCAUCUUCAUCAAGCUCCCCUGGGCGUCGAGCUCCAGGGCGCCGAUGGAAGGAGAAGCUCUGGAUGGGGAGGUGCUUGCCUCCGCCGGGUUGUCGAUCGUCGACGCGCCGGGAAGCAGCAGCGGCGAGCCUGAGGAGGAGCGGCUGCUACGGAGGCUGCUGGCGCUCUACCGCGCCCGCCAAGUCAAGUUGGAGUCCCGGGAAGCGCUUGUCGCGAGGGCGAGCGUGGACAUAGAGAAGCGUGCAGAGGAGCUCUGGGGUCUUCGCCAAGAAACUCUCCGGGCCUUGGGGAGGAGCAGGAGCAGCUUGCUGAGGAGCGGAAGGCCUUCCUCCUUGAGAAGGCUGAGGCUGAAGAGCAGCAGCGGCUCACCGGCGAGAAGUUGUACGCGCGAGAAGGCGAGCUGACUCAGCGAAAAGUGAACCUCGACAGCCACGAAGAGGAGCUUGCCGCGCGCGAACGGGCACUUGGCGGGAUGCUCCAAGAGGCAAAGGAUGCGGCUGCGGCUGCCGAGGCCGCCAAGAAAGAAUUGGAGGCAAAGGUGGCGCAGCUAGAAGCUGAUCUGAAGGUUGGUGGCGAAGAGCUUGCCGCGCUCAAGCUAGAGCGCGAGAAGGACGCCCUUGCCCACGGUGAGCUGCAGGGCCGACUCGCCGAGAGGGGCAAGGAACUGAGCGCCGCCAAGGAUUCCAACGCAGAUCUGACGCUGAAGCUGGCCACCUUGACGGAGACGUUGGACAGCGCCAGGAAACGGGAGGCAAACUUGAAGAAAGACAUCAAGGCCAAUGAUGCGCUGCUGGCAAGGGCCGCCGAAACCCAGAAUCUCCUCAGAGAUACCGUGGCGCUCUGGACGGAGGGCCUCGUGAACGUUGCUGCAGUCAUUGAAGAGGAGCUGGUGCAGUUGGGGGUGGAAGGCUUCGGGUACUCCUCCGACGAGAACCUCCAACCCAGCGCCAAGCUCACUCUGUUCUUCAAAGGCGUGGCGGCGGCGCUCCAGCAACUCCGGGAACGGAUCCCAAAGCAGUUGGCCGACGAGUCACGCUCGAUUUGUGCCGGAGUUCUGGAGAAGGUGCUGGUGAAGGUGGCCUUCCGCAAUCCGGGCCUCAACCUCACCAACGUCCUCAAGAGGCUGCCGGCGGACGCUGAUCUUGACGCACUUAAGGCCCUCGUCGCACCCAUUGUGGACAGGGUGAACGAGGUCAAAAGGGUUGACGCCGGUCGCGUAGAUUAGGUCGUCCAUUUUCUUCUUUUCUUGCCGCUGCCAGUCAUGUCAUGGGAACACUUUAUUAGAGGCGCGACAAGUUAUUUUUGUAAUAUAACUCUAUCUUAGGUAAAAAAUUGUUGUGUUACUUCCUUUACUCGACUCUUGGCUUUGUAUGGUUCUGCCCUAUGCUUUCUAGGGAAACUUGCCGGUGCAGGCACCCUUGCCGCGAGCGCCGAGUGCGGAACUUUAGCAGCCUGCUGGCGGGGUCGCUACCGACAAGCAACCUUGUCGCAACUAGUUGCAGCUCACUUAAGUUGUUGAGCGGACUCGAAACAAAGUAAGGGCGCAGCUAGCUACGAGUUGGUUCCUCCGCGCACAGGUUUUCCAUACAAAGCACGGUCGUUCAAGGAAAAUAACUCAAAAACUUAAAAAACUGAUUGCUCAAACUUUAGCAACUUAGCUUUUCUGUCGUCUGCUUCCCGGCAAGGAGAAACUUUCUUGAACGGCCUGGUCCACACCAUUAUCUUCUCCUCCCCCCCUCCCCCCGGUAAACCUUGUGGGCGAGGGAACCUUCCUUCUUUUGAGAAAGAAACAUAGAAAUAAAGUAAUGAUAUGGAGCCUUGGGCUCGCUAUCGCUUACCGGGGUCUGGUGCUGCACAAAGUGUCAGAUAAUAUAUGCGAAAAAAAGGAUUAUAGCAUAAAAAAACUGACAAGAUGUGCGGGGCACAUGAACUUUACUGGUGCACGGGGUCUGCGCCCGGCUUUGUACAAAGGAUUACAUGCAACAUCGGCAAGACUUGUACAAAAGGUGGUUGCCGGAAAAGCUUCCGGCAACCGCGCCCUACGGGUAAAACUUACGAAGAUGUUCUAUGUUCCAGGAGUUGCUCACCGGAAUUCCAUCUUCGGUCUCAAGGAGGACAGCGCCGGGCCUAGUGACUUGUUUCACCCGAUAAGGGCCUUCCCACUUCGGCGUCAACUUGUUGGAAUUCUUGGCGGACUAAACACGCCGAAGAACAAGGUCGCCUUCCUCGAAGCUACUGGCUUUAACUUUGCGGCUAUGGUAGCGACGCAAAGCUUGCUGGUAGCGAGCGGCUCGCACAGCAGCCUGAAGACGGUCUUCCUCAAGGAGCAGCGCGUCAUCUUGUCGCAGCUGCUCUUGCUCGAGCUCAUCAUAAGCGAGCACUCGAGGCGACCCGUAAACGAGUUCCAUGGGGAGAACUGCCUCCGCUCCGUAUACUAGAGCGAAGGGUGUCUGGCCAGUGGCUUGAUUUGGCGUCGUCCUGAUCGACCAAAGAACCACCGGCAGCUCCUCGAUCCAGUUUCUUCCGCACUUGUGCAGCCUGUCGAAAGUUCUGGUCUUGAGCCCCCGCAGCACUUCAGCGUUUGCCCUCUCCGCUUGACCGUUGCUUCUCGGGUGAGCAACAGAAGUGAAGCAGACCUUGGCGCCAAGAUCUUGGACAUACUGCAUGAAGGUGCGGCUCGUAAAUUGCGUGCCGUUGUCAGUGAUGAUCCUGUUAGGAACCCCGAAACGGCAAAUAAUCGACCUGAAGAACUUGACUGCUGACUGUGCUGUCACCUUCCUCACUGGAUCCACUUCCGGCCACUUUGUGAACUUGUCGAUGGCGACGUACAAGAACUCAAAGCCCCCGACAGCUCGGGGAAAGGGGCCGAGGAUGUCGAGCCCCCAGACCGAAAAUGGCCAGGAUAAAGGGAUCGUCUGGAGAGCUUGAGCUGGCGGAUGUAUCUGUUUGGAAUGGAACUGGCACGCUUCACACUUGGUUACUUGUGCAGUUGCAUCCUGGAGGGCUGUCGGCCAGAAGAAACCUUGUCGGAAUGCUUUGCCGGCAAGUGCUCUUGCGCCAAUGUGGUGACCACAUAUGCCUCCAUGUAUCUCUGCCAACAGUUGUUGUCCAUCUUCCCGGCGAAUGCACUUCAAUUUCACACCGUUGAGUCUUAUUCUGUACAGUGUGUUGUCGACAAACUUGUACAUACUUGACUGCCGGGCUACUCUUUCCGCUUCUUCUUGCUCUUCGGGAAGCUCUCCUGUCUGAAGGAAACGGACAAUCUGCUGCGCCCAUGCUGGAGCUUGUGGCUCGACAACAAGGACUAAAGGCGUAUCUAUUGCUGCGGGAACAUCUGCUUCCACGGCAAGAACCUGCGGCUCUGCCGGAGCGUGAUGCUCCCCGACAAGCUUGCCAGAGCAAGACUUGUCGGGAGCGUAUGCUUCAACGAAACAAGCCAUAAGGCUUGCCGGAGCAAACUGCUCCUCAGCACUCUUGGCGUCUAUAUUGGGGACCUUCUUGGCGGCGGCUUCGGGAAGCUCUGCCGGAAAGUAGUCACCAGAAACCAACUUCCUCUUCUUAUUCUGUCCAGUUGAUGGUGUCACGGAUGGUUGAGUCAGCUUGAGCACAAAGAUCCCUGGUUCCACAGGCAACUUUAGUGCAGCGCACUUUGACAGGCCAUCAGCAAUGUCAUUAUGAGCUCGCGGAACAUGCUCCAUUUGCAGGCCGUCAAAGUGUUCUUCUAGCUUUCUCACUUCAUCAACAUAAGCUUCCAUCAAUGAACUCUGGUAGUUCUUGUUCACUUGGCGGACGACAAGCUGCGAGUCACCCCUUACAAUGAGUUUCUUGAUCCCAAGGUUGGCUGCGAUUCUAAGGCCGGCAAGCAAACCCUCAUACUCUGCAGUAUUGUUCGUUGCUUGCUCCUUGGGAAAGUGCAUCUGGAUUACGUACUUGAGGUGCUCUCCAGUGGGUGCGAUAAGCAGCACGCCCGCACCGGCGCCUUGCAGCGAGAAGGCACCAUCAAAGUACAUCAGCCACUCUUUGCUUGCCUCUUUAACGGGGAUGCUCGUCUCUGGAAUUUCUUCGUCUGGGGUUGGCGUGCACUCUGCUAUGAACUCUGCCAAUGCCCUGCUUUGGAUCGUUGCAGUGCUCUCAAACUUGAGGCCAAAGCUUGACAGUUCCAAUGCCCACUCGACAAUCCUGCCUGUUGCUUCUGGAUUCUGCAGUAUCCUCUUCAGCGGAAAGCGAGUGACAACUGUGAUCUCGUGUGCCUGGAAAUAAUGGCGCAGCUUUCUCGAGGCCAUGAGAAGGCCGAAAAGCAAUUUUUGCACACCAGAGUACCUCGACCUAGCCCCCUGGAGAAGGGAGCUGACAAAGUAAACUGGGCGCUGCACCAUCUUAUUCUGCACCUCCUUGCACGUCUGCGCAGAUUCAUCUUUGUCGGGACCAGAGCUUGUCGGAGAAGCCCCCUGCUUGUCGCUGGAUUCACUUGUCGCGGUCGCUGGCUCAUCAUCUGCCUCCCUCUCUGCUACUAACGCAGCACUAACCACUUGAUUGGUUGCCGCUAGGUACAGCAGCAACUUCUCUUGUGGCUUAGGUGCGACAAGUAUUGGAGUGGAGGACAGGUACCUCUUCAAGUCCUGCAGCGCAUCCUCCGCUUCCGGAGUCCAUUUCAUUGGACCUGCCUUUUUCAAUAUUUUGAAAAACGGCAGGGCGCGCUCAGCAGACUUAGAGAUAAACCUGCUGAGAGCAGCCACGCAACCGGCAAGCCUUCGCACAUCCUUGACGCGCUUCCGUGCUUCAAUCUGCUCGAUGGCCUUGAUCUUGUCGGGGUUGGCUUCAAUUCCCCGCUGAGACACAAAGAACCCGAGAAGCUUGCCGGAAGGGACUCCAAACACGCACUUCUCGGGGUUGAGCUUGAGGUUGAUCCUGCGCAGAUUUGCAAAAGUUUCUUCUAAAUCUUGGAUCAGGGUAGCCUUGUCCUUGCUCUUGACCACUAUAUCAUCCAUGUAGGCUUCCACAUUUCUGUGUAUCUGUGGCUCAAAAGCGACAUGGACUACCCUUGCAAAUGUUGAACCAGCAUUCUUCAACCUAAAGGGCAUCCGUACAAAACAGUAUGUGCCGCAAGGGGUGAUAAAUGCGGUUUUUUCCUCAUCCUCUUCUGCCAUGAAGAUCUGAUGGUAUCCUGAAUAUGCAUCAAGAAAUGAGAGCAAAUCACAUCCAGCUGUGGAGUCAACAAUCUGGUCAAUGCGCGGCAAGGGAAAUGGAUCUUUGGGACAAGCUUUAUUAACAUCAGUGAAGUCAAUACAAAGUCUCCAUUUCCCGUUCGCCUUGCGCACGACUACAGGAUUGGCCAACCACGUGGGAUGGAGCACUCCUCUGACAAGGCCUGCUGCUUCCAAUUUCCUGAUCUCUUCUGCAAUGAACUCUUGGCGCUCCACUGCUUGCUUCCUGACUCUCUGCUUGACGGGCCACGCAUGAGGACAGACGGAAAGGUGGUGCUCGAUUACUUUCCUGGGAACACCGGGGAUAUCAGACGGUUGCCAUGCAAACACGUCGACAUUCGCCCGCAGGAAAGCAACGAGCGCGCUUUCCUAUUUGGGGUCAAGCGUGGCACUGAUGGUGAAGGUACCACCAGUGCCGUCCUCCUUGGCGGACACCUUCUUGGUCUCGGGUGGAGCUACCAUCGUCUUCUUGCACUUGCCGGUGGAGCUCGAUGGUGUGUCCUCGAUGGUAGCGCAGCACUUUGAAGAGGUGCGCUUGCCGGAGUGGGCAUCAGAGCUCUUGCCGGACUUUGUCUUCUUCUUCCCCCCGGGAGCUUCAGCGGCAAGUGUGUUGUGAUCAGCUGCGGCUGCUGCUUCCCGGUAGAUCUUGUCGGCGCAGAUAAGGGCAUCCUUCUUGUCGCCAGGGACAGAGAUGACACUUAUUGGGCCUGGCAUCUUGAGCAUGUUGUAUGCAUAGUGAGAGGCUGCCAUAAACUUAGCGAGCGCUGGACGGCCAAGGAUCCCAUUGUAGGGCAAUGGAAAAUCGGCAACAUCAAAUGUGACCCUCUCAGUUCUGAAGUUCAUCUCGCUGCCAAAUGUGACCGGCAGCGUGAUCUUUCCCUUCGACUUGCUUCUUCCCGGGCUGAUUCCUUGGAAUGUGCCGGUCUCUUCGAGCUCGCUGUCAGGGAUCUGAAGUUUCUGGAGGACCACGGAGGAUAUCAGGUUCAAGCCGGCCCCGCCGUCAACUAGCAUCUUUGUGACCUUGAGGUUGCGGAUAGUUGGUGAAACCAACAUCGGCAAACACCCGACCGCAGUUACGCGAUCAGGGUGAUCCUCAAUGUCAAAGAUGAUAGGCGUGCUGGACCAUUUCAGAGGCUUGCGUGACUCUACGGAUGGUUCCGCUGCAUUAACCUCCCGCAUCCACUGCUUGAGUUGGUGGUGCGAAGUAUGCAGAGAAGCACCACCGUCAACGCACAGGACCUCUGUAGCUUUCUGAGAUUCCUGCUCAUCGGCCUCAUCAUCAUCCACGUCUUCGUCAUCGUUGUCGUAUUCAUCCUUGUCGCGGCCGCGGGGAGGUCUGUCUCCUUGCCGCUGCUUGGCCUUGCUGCGGCGUCCUCCUCGGCCGGGACGUUUCUUGCCGGAUCCACCAGUUCCUUCCUGGGCCUUCUCCUUGUCGCGCCGCUUGUACUCAGCUUUCUGUUGCUCAACAAGCUAUUCGACUUUCUUGCAGUUCUGAAGAUCGUGACCCUUGGUGCGGUGAAUCUUACAAUACUGCUUGCCGGAGCUGUCCUGCUUGUCGGCGGCCGCCACAGGCUGGGCUUCCUUGCCGGAGCCACCAUCCUUAGUUUCCUUGGCGCCACCUCCGUUGCCGGUCUGCUCGACAGCUAGCACUUCCUUGGCCUUUUUCCUUCUGUUGUUCUGCCGCCGGCCUUUCUUUGCCGGGGCGGCAUCCUCACUGUCGGAUCCUCCUGCUCCUGUACUCUCUCCGGGGAGCCUCCUUCCCUCUUCAGUGCGUGCACACUUGUCGGCCAGGGCGUAAAGCUCGCUGACGUCUCUGAUCUUACACAUCGCCAUCUCCUCCCAUAUCCUUCGGUUUCGCACGUUCUGAUGGAACGCGCUGAUGAUCGCGGCGGGGUGGACGUCUGGGAUGUUGUGUUGUACACGGUUGAAUCUCUGAAUGUACUUGCGCAGUGGCUCUCCUUCCUUCUAGGCGAGCAGAUGAAGAUCGCUUUCUUGGCCAUGUGGCUUUUGGCCGCCUGUAAAGGCGUCGACAAACUGAUGGCAUAAAUCUGCCCAAGAGGAGAUGGAAUUGUCCGGCAAGUGCAUGAGCCAGGACCUGACGUUGGGCUUGAGUACCAGUGGGAAGUAGUUGGCAAGGAUCUUGUCGUCCCGUCCCCCGGCAGCCUGCACCGCGAUGGUGUAGAUGCUGAGAAACUCCGACGGAUGCGUCUUGCCAUCGUACUUCUCUGGUACGUCUGGUUUAAAAUUCUUUGUGCUGGGCCACUGGACUUGCCGCAGCUCACGGGUGAACGCAGGGCAACCAUAUACGUACGGCAGAUCGCCUGGUUCCCCUGGCGCAUGCAUGUCAACAGAGGGCCCAGCGCGCUUGUCGGAUUGACGUCGUGCUUCUCUUCGGCGCUCGAUGCGGGUUCGAGCGUCUUCUUGUUGUCGUUCAUGGAGAACUUGGCGCUGGUCGCGACGAGCUCGUGGGUCCGACGACGCGGUGGAGCCGCUGUCGGGGUGGACCCGGCGAGUCGGCGAUUUUGGCCUUCGUAGUGGAGAGUGCAUGGAAGUCGCACCUCCCCCGGUCUUGUUGCCAUCGGCUCGCGUCCGGUUGUCCUGCCGUGGCAGCGAGGUGCUUGGUUGCCACGCAGAGUCACCGUUUGCGAAGCCGAUGAGGCUCUGGAUAGUGGCCCUCCAUUCGUCGGUCUUGUCCGCCGUCGGAGGAUAGUCUAGGAUCAGUUGAGCUCGCGCCAAGGCUUCUGCUGGAGUGGUGGGCGGCGGAGGUGAACGGUGCGAGGAGUGGGGCGUGCUCGGACUUCUAACCACGUUAGAAGGAGCAGUGCCCCAUCCAGGCGACCGUACUUCGCUCGAGCCAGCAUGUUGACGUGCAUGUUGGUCUUGAGCGCCAUGAGAACCACCAGCUUGAUCUUGGCCCAGCGGACGUAUGGCGCUGCGAAUGCCAUGACGCUGCUGGUCCCGCGCCUCCUGAGAGGGGCGCUGUGCGCGCAUGGACGCCGAGGUCUGUGCCGCCUUGUCCUUGGACUUGGCCGCACUGAGGGCUCCCUCGUCGACGCCCAUUCUUCCGCCGGCGUCCACUCCACCACCCGUUUGCUCCAUAGGCGGUGAAAGCGACGCAGACGGAACAGCUGCCUCCGAAUCCUUCUUCUUCGGUGGCAUGUCGAUGAAGACGAUGAAGAUUUAGCUCGCGUGCACGCCGGAUCGGGUUCACACAAUCUCGACGCCCCCUACCUGGCGCGCCAAAGAUGUCGGGGGAAACUGAUCCACCAACACCUAUGGGGACAGGGCCCCUUUCGGUUCGAAGGGGGGCGGAGGCCGCACAAAGAGCGGAUCGAGGCAGUACAUGCGAGCAGUUUUACCCAGCUUCGGGCCGCACGGAUGCGUAAAACCCUACUGCUGCUUGUUUGUGUGUAUUGAAUUCUUGCUCAGGAGCGAUGGACGCUGCCAGACUGAGCGUGAGAGUGUUCCUGAUGUUUCGAAUGAGCCGAACCCCUUCUACAUUGCGCUUGGGCCUCCUUUUAUACUUUCAAGGGGUCACCGACAGGUGGCAACGUAGACUGGAAGGGUAAAAAAAUGGAAAAGGAUGCGGUAGGUGCAGCUACCGCUACUGUGGACACAGUGCACCCUACCUAACUCUGACGGCAGGGGACAAGGUCAUUGAAUGCCCAUCUGAGUUGCCUAAACAGUGCAAAAAGUGACCGUUAGGAGCGCCACCGUUUGCCACGAUGGCCUUCUCUUCAUCUCCGCUUGCCACCGCGUACCCCUGGCUGCACAGGCUCCCGCCACGCGCCCCUGAGGAAGCCUCAUGGCGACACGCGGGCGGGUGCGCUGGAGCGCGGGUAUGGGGUGGCAGCUGGCCCCCGGCAAGUACCUUGCCGGGGUCGUCGUCUUGUCGCGUCCGGAAGCUUGUCGCUCGCCGGAUCUUGCCGGGACGUGUGGUGCGUCGCGGUAAGUUUCUUGUGGCGCCUUGGCUGGCCUUCCCGGCAAGCUCCUCUUGCCGGAGUCUUGUCUCUUCAUCUUAAAUACUUUGUUCUUAAAGGGGCUCCAAGGGAACCCACGGAGGACCCUGGCGGUCCUUCGGCAAGCCUUGCCGCGGGGCGCUGCAACUGCUCGUGCACGAGUUCGGGAUACUAGGGUACCCCUACUAUAGUACACCGACACACGUGGAUCAACUUGUGUGUCUAGGGUGCCCCCUUCCCCCAUAUAUAAAGGAUCAAAGGGGGGUGCGGCCGGCCAGGAGGAGGGCGCGCCAGGAGGAGUCCUACUCCCACCGGGAGUAGGAUCCCCCCCCCUUUCCUAGUUGGAAUAGGAUUCGGGAGGGGGAAAGAGGAGAGAGAGAAGGAAGGGGGGCGCCGCCCCCCUCUCCUUAUCCUAUUCAGACUAGGGGGAGGGGCGCGCGGCCCAACCCUGGCCACCUCUCCUCUCUUCCACUAAAGCCCACUAAGGCCCAUAUACCUCCCGGGGGGUUCCUGGUACUCCGGUAAAAUCCCGAUUUCACCCGGAACACUUCCAAUAUCCAAAUAUAGGCUUCCAAUAUAUCAAUCUUUAUGUCUCAACCAUUUCGAGACUCCUCGUCAUGUCCGUGAUCACAUCCGGGACUCCGAACAAACUUCGGUACAUCAAAAUGCAUAAACUCAUAAUAUAACUGUCAUCGAAACCUUAAGCGUGCGGACCCUACGAGUUCGAGAACAAUGUAGACAUGACCGAGACACGUCUCCGGUCAAUAACCAAUAGCGGAACCUGGAUGCUCAUAUUGGCUCCUACAUAUUCUACGAAGAUCUUUUAUCGGUCAGACGGCAUAACAACAUACGUUGUUUCCUUUGUCAUCGGUAUGUUACUUGCCCGAGAUUCGAUCGUCGGUAUCUCAAUACCUAGUUCAAUCUCGUUACCGGCAAGUCUCUUUACUCGUUCCGUAAUACAUCAUCUCACAACUAACUCAUUAGUUGCAAUGCUUGCAAGGCUUAUGUGGUGUGCAUUACCGAGAGGGCCCAGAGAUACCUCUCCGACAAUCGGAGUGACAAAUCCUAAUCUCGAAAUAUGCCAACCCAACAUGUACCUUUGGAGACACCUGUAGAGCACCUUUAUAAUCACCCAGUUAUGUUGUGACGUUUGGUAGCACACAAAGUGCUCCUCCGGCAAACGGGAGUUGCAUAAUCUCAUAGUCAUAGGAACAUGUAUAAGUCAUGAAGAAAGCAAUAGCAACAUACUAAACGAUUGGGUGCUAAGCUAAUGGAAUGGGUCAUGUCAAUCAGAUCAUUCACCUAAUGAUGUGAUCCUGUUAAUCAAAUAACAACUCUUUGUCCAUGGUUAGGAAACAUAACCAUCUUUGAUUAACGAGCUAGUCAAGUAGAGGCAUACUAGUGACACUCUGUUUGUCUAUGUAUUCACACAUGUAUUAUGUUUCCGGUUAAUACAAUUCUAGCAUGAAUAAUAAACAUUUAUCAUGAUAUAAGGAAAUAAAUAAUAACUUUAUUAUUUCCUCUAGGGCAUAUUUCCUUCACAUGAACCAUGGAUAUAGCACUAUGGGUGGAAUAGAAUAUAAUGAGGGGGGUUGUGUGGAGAAGACAAAAAGGAGAAAGUCGCACAUCAACGAGGCUAAUCAAUGGGCUAUGGAGAUGCCCAUCGAUUAAUGUUAAUGCAAGGAGUAGGGAUUGUCAUGCAACGGAUGCACUAGAGCUAUAAAUGUAUGAAAGCUCAACAAAAGAAACUAAGUGGGUGUGCAUCCAACUUGCUUGCUCACGAAGACCUAGGGCACUUGAGGAGGCCCAUUGUUGGAAUAUACAAGCCAAGUUCUAUAAUGAAAAUUCCCACUAGUAUAUGAAAGUGAUAACUCAAGAGACUCUCUAUAUGAAGAACAUGGUGCUACUUUGAAGCACAAGUGUGNNNNNNNNNNNNNNNNNNNNNNNNNNNNNNNNNNNNNNNNNNNNNNNNNNNNNNNNNNNNNNNNNNNNNNNNNNNNNNNNNNNNNNNNNNNNNNNNNNNNNNNNNNNNNNNNNNNNNNNNNNNNNNNNNNNNNNNNNNNNNNNNNNNNNNNNNNNNNNNNNNNNNNNNNNNNNNNNNNNNNNNNNNNNNNNNNNNNNNNNNNNNNNNNNNNNNNNNNNNNNNNNNNNNNNNNNNNNNNNNNNNNNNNNNNNNNNNNNNNNNNNNNNNNNNNNNNNNNNNNNNNNNNNNNNNNNNNNNNNNNNNNNNNNNNNNNGACAAUGCUCUAUUGAAUGAUGAUCAUCACACUUCUAUUUAUUUACAACUUAAUGAUUACAACUCGAUACUAGAACAAAGUAUGACUCUAUAUGGAUGCCUCCGGCGGUGUACCGGGAUAUGCAAUGAAUCAAGAGUGACAAGUAUGAAAAAUUAUGAACGGUGGCUUUUCCACAAAUACUUAUGUCAACUACAUGAUCAUGCUAAGCAAUAUGACAAUGAUGAAUGUGUCAUGAUAAACUGGAUGGUGGAAAGUUGCAUGGCAAUAUAUCUCGGAAUGGCUAUGGAAAUGCCAUAAUAGGUAGGUAUGGUGGCUGUUUUGAGGAAGAUAUAAGGAGGUUUAUGUGUGAAAGAGUGUAUCAUAUCACGGGAUUUGGAUGCACCGGCGAAGUUUGCGCCAACUCUCAAUGUGAGAAAGGGCAAUGCACGGUACCGAAGAGGCUAGCAAGGAUGGAAGGGUGAGAGUGCGUAUAAUCCAUGGACUCAACAUUAGUCAUAAAGAACUCACAUACUUAUUGCAAAAAUCUACAAGUCAUCAAAAACCUCGGCACUACGCGCAUGCUCCUAGGGGGAUAGAUUGGUAGGAAAAGACCAUCGCCCGUCCCCGACCGCCAUUCAUAAGGAGGACAAUCAAAUAACACCUCAUGUUUCAAAUUUGUUACACAAUGUUUACCAUACGUGCAUGCUACGGGACUUGUAAACUUCAACACAAGCAUUUGUCAGUUUCACAACUACUCAACUAGCAUGACUUUGAUAUUAUUACCUCCAUAUCUCAAAACAAUCAUCAAGCAUCAAACUUCUCAUAGUAUUCAACGCACUCAUAAGAGAAUUUUAUUAUUCUUGUAUACCUAGCAUAUUAGGAUUUUAAGCAAAUUACCAUGCUAUUUAAGACUCUCAAAAUAAUCUAACUGAAGCAUGAGAUUUCAUCUAUUUCUUCAAAAUAAAACUACCACCAUGCUCUAAAAGAUAUAAGUGAAGUACUAGAGCAAAUGACAAACUACUCCGAGAGAUUUAAGUGAAGAUCAAUGAGUAGUCGAAUAAUUAUGCAACUAUGUGAAGACUCUCUAACAUUUAAUAAUUUCAGACCUUGGUAUUCUAUUCAAACAGCAAGAAAAGCAAAAUAAAAUGACAUUCUAAGAAUGGCAAGCAUCAUGUGAAUAAGCAAAAACUUAGGAUCAAUCGAUACUAACCGAUAGUUGUUGAAGAAGAAAGGUGGGAUGCCAACCGGGGCAUCCCCAAGCUUAGACGCUUGAGACUUCUUGAAAUAUUAUCUUGGGGUGCCUUGGGCAUCCCCAAGCUUGAGCUUUUGUGUCUCCUUAAUUCCUCUCAUAUCACGGUCUCCCUAAAUCUCAAAAGCUUCAUCCACACAAAACUCAACAAGGACUCGUGAGAUAAGUUAGUAUAAACCAUUGCAAAAACCUUAUCAUACUCUACUGUAGAAAAUCACUAAAAUUAUUAUUCAACAUUGCAUACUAAAUGCCUCUGCAUAUUUAAUAGUCCUAUCCUCAAAUAGAAUCAUUAAAGAAGCAAACAUAUGCAAACAAUGCAAACAUAACAGCAAUCUGCCUAAACCGGAUAGUCUGUAAAGAAUGCUGCAACAUCCAUACUUCCCUAGCUCCAAAAAUUAUGAAAGAAAAUUCCCACUGUAGUAAAUUUAUCAGAGAUUAAUAUGCAAAAAGUCUCAACAUUUUAUCACAUUCUGAAUUUUCUAGGGAAUUAUUGCAACAGCGGUAAACUUUCUGUUUUCAAACAGCAACAUGUAUACUUGUAACAUAGGCAUAGUAAAGGCUAUCAAUGCCACUUUUAUUGAAAUAAAAGAUGCAAAACAUUGUUCUAAAUAACAGCAAGCAAAUCCUAACAAAAUAAAUUGACGCUCCAAGCAAAACACAUAUCAUGUGGUAAAUAAAAAUAUAGCUCCAAGUAAAGUUACCGAUGAACGAAGACGAAAGAGGGGAUGCCUUCCGGGUCAUCCCCAAGCUUAGGCUCUUGUCUAUCCUUGAAUAUUACCUUGGGGUGACUUGGGAAUCCCCAAGCUUAGGAUCUUGCCACUCCUUAUUCCAUAGUCCAUCGAAUCCUUACCCAAAACUUGAAAACUUCACAACACAAAACUUAACAGAAAAAUCGUAAGCUCCGUUAGUAUAAGAAAAUAAAUCACCACUUCAAGGUACUGUGAUGAACUCAUUAUUUAUUUGUAUUGGUGUUAAACCUACUGUAUUCCAACUUCUCUAUGGUUUAUAAACUAUUUUACUAGCCAUAGAUUCAUCAAAAUAAGUAAACAACACAUGAAAAAUAGAAUCUGUCAAAAACAGAACAGUCUGUAGUAAUCUGGAUCAAACGUAUACUUCUAGAACUCAUAAAAUUCUCAAAUAUAUUUCUGGACCUGAGGAAUUUAUCUAUUAAUCAUCUGAAAAAAUAAUUAACUAAAUAGCACUCUCCAAAUAAAAAUGUCAGCAAUUCUCGUGAGCGCUAAAGUUUCUGUUUUUUACAGCAUGAUCAACAAGACUAUCCCCAAGUCUUCCCAAAGGUUCUACUUGGCACAAACACUAAUUAAAAGAAUAAAACCACAUCUAAACAGAGGCUAGAUGAAUUAUUCAUUACUAAACAGGAAAAAAAAGCAAGGAACAAUAAUAAAAUUGGGUUGCCUCCCAACAAGCGCUAUCGUUUAACGCCUCUAGCUAGGCAUGAUGAUUUCAACGAUGCUCACGUAAAAGAUAAGAAUUGAAACAUAAAGAGAGCAUCAUGAAGAAUAUGAAUAGUACAUUUAAUUCUAACAUGAUUCCUAUGCAUAGGGAUUUUGUGAGCAAACAACUUGUGGGAACAAUAAUCAACUAGCAUAGGAGGGCAAAACAAGCAUAACUUCAAAAUUUUAAGCACAUAGAGAGGAAACUUGAUAUUAUUGCAAUUCCUACAAGCAUAUGUUCCUCCCUCAUAAUAAUUUUCAGUAGUAUCAUGAGUGAAUUCAACAAUAUAACCAGCACCUAAAGCAUUCUUUUCAUGAUCUACAAGCAUAUAAAUUUUAUUACUCUCCACAUAAGCAAAAUUCUUCUCAUGGAUAAUAGUGGGAGCAAACUCAACAAAAUAACUAUCAUGUGAUUGAAAAUUAAGAUCAAGAUGACAAGUUUCAUGGUUAUCAUUAUUCUUUAAAGCAUACGUGUGAUCACAAUAAUCAUCAUAGAUAGGAGGCAUGCUUUCAUCAUAGUAAAUUUGCUCAUCAAAGCUUGGGGAAUAAAAAAUAUCAUCUUCAUCAAACAUAGCUUCCCCAAGCUUGUGGCUUUGCAUAUCAUUAGCAUCAUGGAUAUUCAAGGAAUUCAUACUAACAACAUUGCAAUCAUGCUCAUCAUUCAAAUAUUUAGUGCCAAACAUUUUAUAGAUUUCUUCUUCUAGCACUUGAGCACAAUUAUCCUUUCCAUCAUACUCACGAAAGAUAUUAAAAAGGUGAAGCGUAUGAGACAAACUCAAUUCUAUUUUUUAUAGUUUUCUUUUAUAAACUAAACUAGUGAUAAAACAAGAAACUAGAAGACUCGAUUGCAAGAUCUAAAGAUAUACCUUCAAGCACUCACCUUCCCGGCAACGGCGCCAGAAAAGAGCUUGAUGUCUACUACACAACCUUCUUCUUGUAGACGUUGUUGGGCCUCCAAGUGCAGAGGUUUGUAGGACAGUAGCAAAUGUCCCUCAAGUGGAUGACCUAAGGUUUAUCAAUCCGUAGGAGGCGUAGGAUGAAGAUGGUCUCUCUCAAGCAACCCUGCAAUCAAAUAACAAAGAGUCUCUUGUGUCCCCAACACACCCAAUACAAUGGUAAAUUGUAUAGGUGCACUAGUUCUGCGAAGAGAUGGUGAUACAAGUGGUAUAUGGAUAGUAGAUAUGGGUAUUUGUAAUCUGAAAUUAUAAAAAAAGCAAGGUAACUAAUGAUAAAAGUGAGCGUAAACGGUAUUGCAAUGAUAGGAAACAAGGCCUAGGGUUCAUACUUUCACUAGUGUAAGUCCUCUCAACAAGGAUCACAUAACUAUCCCUCAACAUGCAACAAAGAGUCGCUCCAAAGUCACUAAUAGCGCAGAACGAACGAAGAGAUUAUGGUAGGGUACGAAACCACCUCAAAGUUAUUCUUUCCAAUCAAUCCGUUGGGAUAUUCCUAUAAGUGUCACAAACAGCCCUAGAGUUCGUACUAGAAUAACACCUUAAGACACACAUCAACCAAAACCCUAAUUUCACCUAGAUACUCCAAUGUCACCUCAAGUAUCCAUGGGUAUGAUUAUAUGAUAUGCAUCACACAAUCUCCGGUUCAUCUAUUCAACCAACACAUAGGACCUCAAAGAGUGCCCCAAAGUUUCUACCGGAGAAUCAUGACGAAAACGUGUGCCAACCCCUAUGCAUAGGUUCAUGGGCGGAACCCACAAGUUGAUCACCAAAACAUACAUCAAGUGAAUCACGUGAUACCCCAUUGUCACCACAGAUAUCCACGGCAAGACAUACAUCAAGUGUUCUCAAAUCAUUAAAGACUCAAUCCAAUAAGAUUACUUCAAAGGGAAACUCAAUUCAUUACAAGAGAGAAGAGGAGGAGGAGAAACAUAAGAUCCAACUAUAAUAGCAAAGCUCGCGAUACAUCAAGAUCGUGCCAAAUCAAGAACACGAGAGAGACAGAGAUCAAACACAUAGCUACUGGUACAUACCCUCAGCCCCGAGGGAGAACUACUCCCUCCUCGUCAUGAAGAGCACCGGGAUGAUGAAGAUGGCCACCGAAGAUGGAUUCCCCCUCCGGCAGGGUGCCGGAACGGGUCUAGAUUGGCUUUCGGUGGCUACGGAGGUAUCUGGCGGCGGAACUCCUGAUCUAUUAUGCUCACGGAUGUUUUUAGGGUAUAUGGAGAUAUAUAGGCGGAAGAAGUACGUCAGGGGGGCCACGAGGGGCUCACGAGGGUGGAGGGCGCGCCCAGGGGGUGGGCGCGCCCCCCUGCCUCGUGGCCUCCUUGUAGAGCCCCCGACGUGCACUCCAAGUCUUCUGGGCUUCUUUCCUUCCAAAAAUGAGUUUCGUGAAGUUUCAGGUCAAUUGGACUCCGUUUGAUUUUCCUUUUCUUCAAAACCCUAAUACUGAGUAAAACAUAAACUGGCACAGGGCUCUGGGUUAAUAGGUUAGUCCCAAAAAUGAUAUAAAAGUGUAUAAUAAAGCCCAUAAACAUUCAAAACAGUAGAUAAUAUAGCAUGGAGCAAUCAAAAAUUAUAGAUACGUUGGAGACGUGUCAUGUAGUUUGGAGAAUUCAAAUAUAUAAUAGGACUAUCAUGUGUGGGUGCAAUAGCAACAAUGUCAUUCUUAACAUAAGGAACUAUAGCAAGUUCAUAUACAUAAGCAUAAUUCAUCUUGGCAUCUUGUCCACAAGCAUAGCAAGCAUCAAGUUCACCAAAAAGGGAUAUUUCAAAAGAAUCAACGAGGUCAUAGCAAUCAUCAUAGCAUUCAUCCUUCGGUAAGAACCAAGGGGCAUUAAAUAAUGUAUGAGUUGAAGAGUUACUCUCAUUAGAAGGUGGGCACGAGUAGCUGAUCCGUUCUUCCUCCAUUUGUUCUUCGCUCUCCUCAUCAUCUUUUUCCUCCAAUGAGCUCGCAGUUUCAUCAAUUUCUUCUUCCAUAGACUCCUGCAAAAUAUUAGUCUCUUCUUGGACACUGGAGGAGUCCUCAAUAUAUGGUUUAACAUAGGCAUUAGAAGCAUAAUUAUCAUAAAAAUAUUUAAGUAUAGCAAAAUUUCCAGAUUUGUAAAGAGUAGCAUCAUACUUUUCAAUCAAAGAAGCAAUUUCAUAAGCACCCUUAAAAGCAACAAAUUCUUCAAUUUGUUUAGUAUCAAAGUAAUUAUAAACACCUUUGGCAUAAGAAUAUACAAUUCCAUUAUCAAUAAACUCACAUUGGUAGGGAAGGUGUUUCUUAGGGUCUUCAGAACAACAAGUAAAAUCAUAUAAUUCACAUAAAUUCCAAGCAUAGCAUUGCAUAGUAUUAAUUUGAUGUUGUAAAAGUUUCCCUUUUUCAGAUAAACAAUGUCGCACAAAACAAGCAUGCUCAUCUAAUGAUUUUCCCUCAACUAAGCUAGUUGGGUUUUCAGCACGAGCACAAAUGGAUCGAAGAUGAUCCAAGUAGAAAGCUUCAGUAGUAUGAUAUAUUUUGGGUGCUUCUUCAACCAUUGGUUUAGUAGGUACAACUAAUUUUUUGGUAUUUUGCGUUUCCUACCCAUAACUAAAGAUAGAAAACAAGAGCACAAAAAAAUUACUUAGUGAUAAAGCUUAGCACUAUGAUCGUUUAGUUUAUUGCUAUUGCUUUCUUCAUGACUUAUACAUGUUCCUUUGACUAUGAGAUUAUGCAACUCCCAAAUACCGGAGGAACACUUAGUGUGCUAUCAAACAUCACAACGUAACUGGGUGAUUAUAAAGAUGCUCUAUAGGUCUCUCCGAUGGUGUUUGUUGAGUUGGCAUAGAUCUAUAUUAGGAUUUGUCACUCCAUGUAUCGGAGAGGUAUCUCUGGGCCCUCUCGGUAGUGCACAUCACUAUGAGCCUUGCAAGCAAUGUGUCUAAUGAGUCAGCCACAGGAUGAUGCAUUACGGAACGAGUAAAGAGACUUGUCGAUGACGAGAUUGAACUAGGUAUGAUGAUACAGACGAUUGAAUCUCGGGCAAGUAACAUACCGAUGACAAACGGAACAAUGUAUGUUGUUAUGCGGUUUGACCGAUAAAGAUCUCCGUAGAAUAUGUAGGAACCAACAUGAGCAUCCAAGUUCCGCUAUUGGUUAUUGACCAAAGAUGUGUCUCGGUCAUGUCUACAUAGUUCUUGAACCCGUAGGGUCCGCAUGCUUAACAUUCGAUGACGAUUUGUAUUAUGAGUUAUGUGAUUUAUUGUACCGAAGGUUGUUCGGAGUCCCGGAUGAGAUCACGGACAUGACAAGGAGUCUCAAAAUGGUUGAGACAUAAAGAUUGAUAUAUUGGACCAUGUUAUUCGGACACCGGAAGUGUUCCGGAUGGUUUCGGAUAAAACCAGAGUGCUAGAGGGGUUAUCGGAACCCCCCGGGGAAGUAAUGGGCCUUAGUGGGCCUUAGGGUAGAGAGAGGGCAGCAGCCAGGAGGUGGCGCCCCCCAAGGGGUGUACGAAUAGGGCUAGGGGAGGGGGCGCGGCCCCUCUUUCCCUCUCCCUCUCCCUCUCCUUCCUUCUUCUCCUACUUGGACUAGGAAAGGGGGGACCGGUUCCUACUUCGAGGCCUCAUUUGGUUGCAAAGUGAAAAUAUUUCAGGGUAGUAAUCCCACGAGGGGGAGUUUCCAUGGUCAUAGGAAAUCCUCUCCCGCCACCGGGGGAGAUCCCCAUGUGAGUUUGGGGACAAGGGGGAGGGGAGGGAAUCACAUCAGGGAAGUGCGAAAUUUCUUGGAAAAGAAAUAUAGUAUUCAAAAACCAUGAAAACUAAUUCCCUUUUUUCUUACAGAAUCAUCAUAGUAGUACUGAAGUAAGUAAUUUUCUAAUUUCCAUGCAAAAUUUAGAAAUGACAGAACAAUGGAGAAUAAUUCUGUAAUUUCAAGGAUAAACCGGGAAAUAUGAAACACACAUAAUCAAUAAAAAACACUUCAGUUCACAUCACACACGCUGACCAUAAAUAACACAACACCGAGGAUAAAUUCCGGUGUGCUAAUCAUUGUUUAACAUUUUUUUAGACAAAAGGCAAUAGCCGAGCCCAAGAUUGGGCUCGAGCCUAGCCCGACUUUGAAUUAACAAAGCCAUCAACUGGAAGAUUACAAGCAAACGCCCUCAUGCGAAGAAAGAACAACACGGCAGUAAGAUACAUAAACGAUGGACCACACCAAACUACUAACACGCUAUGGAAACUGAAGAUAAUCAUAAGAGAACGAAGCCGAAGACACUGAGGUCCUUCUCCAAGAAUGCUGCACCAAGAACAAUAUCACACUGGCUCGGAGGAGAUAGGAGCCGACACCAGCGCGGCAUAUGUUGUCACCAUGCACCUAUGGGCCCUGGCACGACACAUCAGGUACACCAUCUUCGAAGGAGUCCACUACCUCCUUUCUUGGAUCGAAGGCGCCGCACCGUCGCAAGAUGAGAUGGAUGCCUCCGAAAGAUGGCCACAUAGAGAAGGUCAGCGCAUACCCAAAAAGAUGUCGGAGGCUCUCCUUGAGCAGAACAUCACCGCUGCACACAUCCAACACUAGAGGGGGAAGUUCCAUGUUAGGAUAAGAGGGCCACACCGUCGCCGCCGCCCACCACCCACAAGCGCCAGCCGGCCACAAGGCUCACAAAGCGGAGCCUUCAAGAAGGGAACGGCACUGAGAGCACCACGGCCGCCCAACAAAGUUAGGGCUUUCGCCCGGGAGAUCUAGGGGCAAGGGAAGUGAGGGGAUGAGUCCAUACCGACGCCUCCAAGGAGGGGAACGACACAUUUAGUUCCAUUAAAAAGAUGUACAUAUGUGACUGAUCCAUACUGAAAUGCGUUGUCACUAGAAUAAUCACUCUACUGAAACUUCCACCAUCACCUUCUUUGAACAUUUUCAUUGGUUAGCUUUACGAAACCUGUAAAUCAAAAAAGAACAAUAUAGUUACUAUACAAUAUCACAUUUUAAACUAUAUAUAAUCACAUAUGCAUGGUUCUCAAUGAAAUAGAUGCAAACAUAAUAAGCCAGACUGAUUUAUGUUCUAAUAAAUAAAAUAUUUUUCCCUUUGACUCCUAGACGACCACGGCAUGAAAGCCAUCAUUUGGCAAGAAAAGAAUGUUACACUGAAACCAGCUUGAAAAUAGUCCUCGAAGCUUUUCAAUUGUAUAAACACUAUUCCAAUUGUAUAAUAUUCAGAAUAAUAUACACUGUCAUGUCAGUUUCCUAGGAGUGGCAACAUUAAGGUCAACACCCAGAUGCAUAUAUCUAGUCAGCACAAGAUCCAUACAAUGACUAUCUAAUUAGUUUGGCUAUACAUGUGCAUUGAUGACUGUCUAAUCAGCACACAACCGGAUGUGUAUUUCCAAGAAAACUGACAUAUAUGGUAUAGGGCUAGGGCUACAGAUUAUUCAGGUGACAACCUUCAAAAAUUCUUCAUGGAUGAAAAGCCAAGAACACAACUGCUCUGGAUCUUAGUGUACAAAAUAAAAUAGAAACAUUCCUUGGAAGAUCUGGAAUGUAGCAUCAUAACAUCUAGCGGAGAGCAGGAGGAGGGGACAAACUUUGGUCGAAGGAAGAGGAAGAUGAACGUCGGGUCAUCAUGAUGAAACUUUGGUCGAAGGAAGAAAGAACACAUAAUAAAUGAAGAACACAAGAAGCGAAAGUGCAUUAGCUACUAGGCUUGGUCCCAACAAAACUAAGUAGACUAAUUUCAACUAAAACUAGCAACAAAAGAUUCAUCAUGUAAACGGUCAUCUCGCAAAAAAGGGUUAAAACUAGUCUGCCACUAGGAGGUCGAAAAGGUUCAAAACUAGUCUUGAUUACAGUAAUGAAAUAAAGUUCUGAAGCACAUAAAAAAGUAGCAGCUACACCUUUCAAUUCAAGCAACAAAUAAUUUGAAAGUUGGCUCAUGGAUUUAAAUUUCAAUGACAUAAUACAUUCAUAGUUGAUAAGAACUGAUUAAGUAUGCACUUCCAUAAAAAGCAUAUGAAACAACAGUACUACAAAUGUUUCAUAAGAAACAGUUUGUCAUCAACGAUAAGUAUUAUAUAUGAAACAAUGCAUUAUUUCAUAUGAAACGUCAGGAAACCUAGGAGAACUGGAAAAGAAACAAAAUCAAUGCAUAUGAAACAUUGAUCUGAUAUAUAUUUCAGUUCCUGAUACGUCCAUUUUGCAUCAUGCUUUUAUAUCAAUAUUUAUUACAUUAUGGGCUGUUAUUACACAUUAUGUCACAAUACUUAUGCCUAUUAUCUCUUAUUUUAAUAGGUUUACAUAAAGAGGGAGAAUGCCGGCAGCUGGGAUUCUGGGCUGGAAAAGGAGCAAAUAUUAGAGACCUAUUCUGCACAGCUCCAAAUGCCCUGAAACUUCAUGGGAGAUGUUUUCCAAAUAUAUAGAAAAUACUCAGCAGAAGAAACUCACCAGGGGGGCACACCAUGCCCACGAGGGUGGGGGGCGCGCCCUACCCCCCUGGGCGCGCCCCCCUACCUCGUGGGCCCCCUGGUGGCCCUCCGGUGGCCAUCUUCUGCUAUAUGGAGUCUUUCGAUGGGAAAAAAAUCAUAAGCCAUCUUCUCGGACGAAACUCCGCCGCCACGAGGCGGAACCUUGGCAGAACCAAUCUAGGGCUCUGGCGGAGCUGUUCUGCCGGGGAAACUUCCCUCCCGGAGGGGGAAAUCAUCGCCAUCGUCAUCACCAACGCUCCUCUCAUCGGGAGGGGGCAAUCUCCAUCAACAUCUUCAUUAGCACCAUCUCAUCUCAAAACCCUAGUUCAUCUCUUGUAUCCAAUUCUUGUCUUCAAGUCCGGGAUUGGUGCUAGUAGGUUGCUAGUAGUGUUAAUUACUCCUUGUAGUUGAUGCUAGUUGGUUUAAUUGGUGGAAGAUCAUAUGCUUAGAUCCUAUAUGCAUAUUAAUACCCCUCUGAUUAUGAACAUGUUUAUGCUUUGUGAGUAGUUAAUUUUGUUCCUGGGGACAUGGGAGAAGUCUUGCUAUUAGUAGUCAUGUGAAUUUGGUAUUCGUUCGAUAUUUUGAUGAGAUGUAUGUUGUCUCUCCUCUAGUGGUGUUAUGUGAACGUCGACUACAUGACACUUCACAAUUGUUUGGGCCUAGAGGAAGGCAUUGGGGAGUAAUAAGUAGAUGAUGGGUCGCUAGAGUGACAGAAGCUUAAAGCCUAGUUUAUGCGUUGCUUCGUAAGGGCUGAUUUGGAUCCAUAUGUUUCAUGCUAUGGUUAGGUUUACCUUAAUACUUUUGUUGUAGUUGCGGAUGCUUGCAAUAGAGGUUAAUCAUAAGUGGGACGCUUGUCCAAGUAAGGGCAGCACCCAAGCACCGGUCCACCCACAUACCAAAUUACCAAAGUACCGAACGCGAAUCAUAUGAGCGUGAUGAAAACUAGCUUGACGAUAUUCCCAUGUGUCCUCGGGAGCGCUUUACAUCAUAUAAGAGUUUGUCCAGGCUUGUCCUUUGCUACAAAAGGAUUGGGCCACCUUGCUGCACUUUAUUUACUUUUGUUACUUGUUGCUCAUUACAAAUUAUCCUAUCACAAAACUAUCUGUUACCACUUAUUUCAGUACUUGCAGAGAAUACCUUGCUGGAAACCGCUUAUCAUUUCCUUCUACUCCUCGUUGGGUUCAACACUCUGACUUAUCGAAAGGACUACGAUAGAUCCCCUAUACUUGUGGGUCAUCAAGACUCUUUUUUGGCGCCGUUGCCGGGGAGUGAAGCGCCUUUGGUAGGUGGAAUUUGGUAAGGAAAAAUGUAUAUAGUGUGCUGAAAUAUACUGUCACUUGUUACUAUGGAAAAUAAUCCUCUGAGGGGCUUGUUUGGGGUAUCUUCACCCCGACCAGUAGAGCAAAGAGUUGCUCCUCAACCUAUUGAACCUACUGAAAAUGAAUAUGAAAAUGAAAAUGCUUACUUUGAAGUUCCUGCUGGUAUGAUAGAAAAACUGCUAGCUAAUCCUUUUCUAGGAGACAGAACAAAACAUCCUGAUGAACAUCUGAUAUAUGUGGAUGAAGUUUGUGGAUUAUUUAAGCUUGCAGGUGUACCCGGAGAUGUUGUUAAGAAGAAGGACUUCCCUUUAUCUUUGAGGGGAGAUGCAUCGACAUGGUAUAGGCUAUGUGAUGAUAUGAGGUCUUGGAAUUACAAAUGAUUGAAAUUGGAAUUUCAUCAGAAGUUUUAUCCUAUGCAUCUUGUUCAUCGUGAUCGCAACUAUAUAUAUAAUUUUUGGCCUCGCGAAGGAGAAAGCAUCGCUCAAACUUGGGGGAGGCUUAAAUCAAUGUUAUAUUCAUGCCCCAAUCAUGAGCUCUCAAGAGAAAUGAUUAUUCAAAAAAUUUAUGCUCAGCUUUCUGGUAACAAUCGCACCAUGCUUGAUACUUCUUGUGGUGGCUCUUUUAUGAUGAAGACUAUUGAAUUCAAAUGGAAUUUAUUGGAAAGAAUUGAACGCAACUCUGAAGAUUGGGACCUCGACAAUGGUAAGGAGUCAGGUAUUACACCUAGUUUUGAUUGUGUUAAAUCUUUUAUGGGUACCGAUAUUUUUCGUAAAUUUAGCACUAAAUAUGGACUUGACUCUGAGAUAGUAGCUUCUUUCUGUGAAUCUUUUGCUACUUAUGUUGACCUCCCCAAGGAGAAGUGGUUUAAAUAUCAUCCUCCCAUAGAAGUAAAAGUAGCUGCACCUAUUAAAGUUGAAGAAAAGACUAUCACUUAUAAUGAUCCUAUUGUUCCUACUUCUUAUGUUGAGAAACCACCUUUCCCUGUUAGGAUAAAGGAUCAUGCUAAAGCUUCAACUUUAGUCCGUAAAAGCAAUAUUAAAACAUAUACACCUCCUGAGCAAGUUAAAGUUGAACCUAAUAUUGCUAUUGUUAAAGAUCUCUUGUCUGAUAAUAUUGAUGGGCAUGUUAUUUAUUUCUGUAACGAAACUACUAGAAUUGCUAAACCUUGUGCUAAAGAUAAACCUAGACCUGUGGUAGGCAUGUCUGUUAUUUCUGUUAAAAUAGGAGAUCAUUGUUAUCAUGGCUUAUGUGACAUGGGUGCUAGUGCUAGCGCAAUACCUCAUUCCUUAUACAAAGAAAUUAUGCAUGAGAUUGCACCUGCUGAAAUAGAAGAUAUUGAUGUCACAAUUAAACUUGCCAAUAGAGAUACUAUUUCACCAAUGGGAAUUGUUAGAGAUGUUGAAGUUUUGUGUGGGAAAACUAAAUAUCCUACUGAUUUUCUUGUUCUUGGUUCCCCACAAGAUAGCUUUUGUCCCAUUAUAUUUGGUAGACCCUUCUUGAACACUGUUAAUGCUACCAUAGAUUGCAAAAGAGAUGUUGUUACUGUCGGUUUAGAUGAUAUGACUCAUGAAUUUAAUUUCUCUAAAUUUAGUAGACAACACCAUGAAGAAGAAUUACCUAGUAAGGAUGAAAUUAUUGGUCUUGCUUCUAUUGCCGUACCUCCUAGUGAUCCUUAGAACAAUAUUUGCGAGACCAUGAAAAUGAUAUGUUUAUGAAUGAAAGAAGGGAAUUAGAUGAAGUAUUCUUUAAACAAGAACCUAUUUUGAAAAAUAAUUUACCUGUUGAAAUCCUAGGAGAUCCCCCUCCACGCAAGGGUGAUCCCGUGUUUGAGCUUAAACCGUUACCUAAUACUCUUAAAUAUGCCUAUCUUGAUGAGAAAAAGAUAUAUCCUGUUAUUAUUAGUGCUAACCUUUCAGAGCAUGAGGAAGAGAGAUUAUUGAAAACUCUGAAGAAGCACCGUGCUGCUAUUGGGUAUACUCUUGAUGAUCUUAAGGGCAUUAGUCCCACUCUAUGUCAACAUAAAAUUAAUUUGGAAGAAGAUGCUAAACCAGUUCGUGAUCAUCAAUGCCAGCUGAAUCCUAAAAUGACAGAAGUGGUAAGAAAGGAGAUACUAAAGCUCCUUGAGGCAGGUAUAAUUUAUCCCGUUGCUGAUAGUGAGUGGGUAAGUCAUGUCCAUUGUGUCCCUAAGAAGGGAGGUAUUACUGUUGUUCCUAAUGAUAAAGAUGAAUUGAUCCCUCAAAGAAUUAUUACAGGUUAUAGGAUGGUAAUUGAUUUCCGCAAAUUAAAUAAGGCAACUAAAAAGGAUCAUUACCCCUUACCUUUUAUCGAUCAAAUGCUAGAAAGAUUAUCCAAGCAUACACAUUUUUGCUUUCUAGAUGGUUAUUCUGGUUUCUCUCAAAUACCCGUGUCAGCCAAAGAUCAAUCAAAGACUAGUUUUACAUGCCCUUUUGGUACUUUUGCUUACAGACGUAUGCCUUUUGGUUUAUGUAAUGCACCUGCUACCUUUCAAAGAUGCAUGAUGGCUAUAUUCUCUGACUUUUGUGAAAAGAUUUGUGAGGUUUUCAUGGACGACUUUUCCGUCUAUGGAUCUUCUUUUGAUGAUUGCUUGAGCAACCUUGAUCGAGUUUUGCAGAGAUGCGAAUAAACUAAUCUUGUCUUGAAUUGGGAAAAGUGCCACUUUAUGGUUAAUGAAGGUAUUGUCUUGGGGCACAAAGUUUCUGAAAGAGGUAUUGAAGUUGAUAAAGCCAAGGUUGAUGCUAUUGAAAAGAUGCCAUGUCCCAAGGACAUCAAAGGUAUAAGAAGUUUCCUCGGUCAUGCCGUUUUUUAUAGGAGGUUCAUUAAGGACUUCUCAAAAAUUUCUCGGCCUCUGACUAAUUUAUUACAAAAAGAUAUACCAUUUGUCUUUGAUGAUGAUUGCGUAGAAGCAUUUGAAAUACUUAAGAAAGCAUUGAUUUCUGCACCUAUUGUUCAGCCACCUGAUUGGAAUUUACCCUUUGAAAUUAUGUGUGAUGCUAGUGAUUAUGUUGUAGGUGUUGUUCUAGGACAAAGAGUUGAUAAGAAACUAAAUGUUAUUCAAUAUGCUAGUAAAACUCUAGACAAUGCUCAAAGAAACUAUGCUACUACUGAAAAAGAAUUCUUAGCAGUUGUAUUUGCUUGUGAUAAGUUUAGACCUUAUAUUCUUGAUUCUAAAGUAACUAUCCACACUAAUCAUGCUGCUAUUAAAUAUCUUAUGGAAAAUAAAGAUGCCAAACCUAGACUUAUUAGAUGGGUUCUCUUACUACAAGAAUUUGAUUUGCAUAUUGUUGAUAGAAAAGGAGCCGAGAACCCCGUUGCAGACAACUUGUCUAGGUUAGAAAAUGUGCUUGAUGACCCACUACCUAUUGAUGAUAGCUUUCCUCAUGAGCAAUUAAGUGUCAUAAAUGCUUCUCAUACUGCUCCAUGGUAUGCUGAUUAUGCUAAUUACAUUGUUGCUAAGUUAUACCACCUAGUUUCACAUACCAGCAAAAGAAAAAGUUCUUCUAUGAUUUGAGGCAUUACUUUUGGGAUGACCCACAUCUUUAUAAAGAAGGAGUAGAUGGUGUUAUUAGACAUUGUGUACCUGAGCAUGAACAGGAACAGAUCCUACGCAAGUGUCACUCCGAAGCUUAUGGAGGACACCAUGCUGGAGAUAGAACUGCACAUAAGGUACUGCAAUCUAGGUUUUAUUGGCCUACUCUCUUCAAGGAUGCCCGUAAGUUUGUCUUAUCUUGUGAUGAAUGUCAAAGAAUUGGUAAUAUUAGUAGACGUCAAGAAAUGCCUAUGAAUUAUUCACUUGUUAUUGAACCAUUUGAUGUUUGGGGCUUUGAUUAUAUGGGACCCUUUCCUUCCUCUAAUGGAUAUACACAUAUUUUAGUUGCUAUUGAUUACGUUACUAAGUGGGUAGAAGCUAUUCCAACUAAUAGUGUUGAUCAUAACACUUCUAUUAAAAUGCUUAAAGAAGUUAUUUUUCCAAGAUUUGGAGUCCCUAGAUAUUUAAUGACUGAUGGUGGUUCACAUUUUAUUCAUGGUGCUUUCCGUAAAAUGCUUGCUAAAUAUGAUGUUAAUCAUAGAAUUGCAUCUCCUUAUCACCCUCAGUCUAGUGGUCAAGUAGAAUUGAGUAAUAGAGAACUCAAAUUAAUUUUGCAAAAGACUAUUAAUAGGUCUAGAAAGAAUUGGUCCAAGAAACUAGAUGAUGCAUUAUGGGCCUAUAGAACUGCAUAUAAAAUCCUAUGGGUAUGUCUCCGUAUAAAAUGGUCUAUGGAAAAGCAUGUCACUUACCUCUCGAACUAGACACAAGGCUUAUUGGGCUAUUAAAGAACUUAAUUAUGAUUUUAAACUUGCCGAUGAGAAGAGGUUAUUUGAUAUUAGCUCACUUGAUGAAUGGAGAACCCAAGCCUACGAAAAUGCCAAGUUGUUUAAAGAAAAAGUUAAAAGAUGGCAUGACAAAAGGAUACAAAAGCGUGAGUUUAAUGUAGGUGAUUAUGUAUUUCUAUACAACUCUCGUUUAAGUUUUUUUGCAGGAAAACUUCUCUCUAAAUGGGAAGGUCCUCACGUCAUCGAGGAGGUCUACCGUUCCGGUGCCAUAAAAAUCAACAACUUCGAAGGCACAAAUCCGAAGGUGGUGAACGGUCAAAGAAUCAAACAUUAUAUCUCAGGUAAUCCCAUAAAUGUUGAAACCAAUGUUAUUGAAACCGUAACCCGGGAGGAAUACAUAAGGGACACUUUCCGGAACGUUUCAGACUCCGAAAAGGAAUAGGUAUGUGGUACGGUAAGUAAACCGACUCCAAAACAAUUUUUAAGGCAAUAUUUCUCUGUUUUGGAAUAUUUAGAAAAAUAGAAAAAUAAGCAGACACGAGGGUGAAGGGUGCGCCCUACCCUACUGGGGGCGCCCCCUACCUCGUGGGCACCUCGUGUGCUCUCCGGACUCCAUUUUCGUACAUGACACAUAUUUUGGUCGGUAAAAAUUCAUUAUAUAAUCUCCUGGGGGUUUUGACUCCCAUAUCACGCAAAUAUCUCUUGUCUUUGUUUUGAGUUGUCCUUCUGCAGAUAGAGCAACAUGUCGUCCUAGGAUUCGGAAGGAGAAAGCUACGUGGCUGAUUACCUUGCAGAUCCUAAGGUCUAUGGGGAUGUGGAGCAUUGCAGUUGGACUACGGAAGAAGAAGAGGACUAUGAACCCAAGGGAAAGGGGGAGACGAGCUCAGAUGAAGACGAAGUCCCACUACCUCAACCUGGGGACAUGCAUGUGGAGUUCAAAAAGUCAGGCCUCCCAGAUAGGGUAAAGAAACCUAAGAUCGAGUUUAUCCCUUUUCGCCUCUUGCAGGAAAACAAGAAGGAACUAUGCAAAAAGAUACUGAGCUUGGAGCAGGAGAUCGAGGACCUAAGGGACCAAAAUUCUGUCCUCAAGCACAAAUUAAGGAAGAAGCCUACGCCAUCAACAAAAUCACCACCGUCUCCAUCAACAAAGAAGAAUUGAGUAUCUGGUAUGGGCACUCCACUUGGCAACUGCCAAGCUUGGGGGAGUGCCCCAGUAUCGUAUCACCAUCACUUUUAUCUUUACCGUUUUUCUUAGUUUGAUCCUUUUGGUAAUAUCUUGAUCUAGUAGAAUAAAAGUUCUUAGUAUGAUCUAGUUGUGAGUUUUGCUUUAUUAUCCUUCUAUGUAAUCGAGUCCGUGAGCUAUAUAAUAAAGAUUAGUGUUGAGUCAAGGGCUUGAUUAUUUUGCCAUGAUCCUAAGGGAAUAAAAGAAAAGAGAAAGAGAUAAAAAGAAACAAAGAGAUCAUGUGAGUCUUAUGGAGAGUAAUGAGCUCACAUAGAAAGAGUAUGAUGAAUAAAAGUUGUUGAGGAUUGACAAACACAGUUUUGCUCAUCGUUGCAAUUAAUAGGAAGUAAUAAAGAAAGAGAGGUCUUCACAUAUAAAUAUACUAUCUUGGACAUCUUUUAUGAUUGUGAGCACUCAUUAAAAUAUGACAUGCUAAAGAGUUGACAUUGGACAAGGAAGACAAUGUAAUGGAUUAUGAUUUCUUACAUCUGAGAUAAAUUAUAUUGUCUUGGAUCUUCCAACAUGAUGAGCUUGCCUUUCCCCCUCAUGCUAGGCAAAUUCAUUGCACCAAGUAGAGAUACUACUUGUGCUUCCAAAUACCCUUAAACCAGUUUUGUCAUGAGAGUCCACUAUACCUACCUAUGGAUUGAGUAAGAUCCUCUAAGUAAGUUGUCAUCGGUGCAAGCAAUAAAAAUUGCUCUCUAAAUAUGUAUGACUUAUUAGUGUGGGAGAAAAUAAUCUUUAUACGAUCGUGUGAUAUGGAAGAAAUAAAAGCGAUAGACUGCAUAAUAAAGGUCCAUAUCACAAGUGGAAAUAUAAAGUGACAUUCUUUCGCAUUAAGAUUUUGUGCAUCCAACCAUAAAAGCACAUGACAACCUCUGCUUCCCUCUGUGAAGGGCCUAUCUUUUACUUUUAUCUCCUACCUUGCAUAAGAGUCAUGGUGAUCCCACCCUUCCUUUUUACAUUUUAACCUUUGGCAAGAACAAUAUGUUGGAAAGAUCCUGGUAUAUAUGGCUAAUUGGAUGUGAGUUUUCAUGAACUAUUACUGUUGACAUUACCCUUGAGGUAAAACGUUGGGAGGCAAAACUAUAAGCCCCUAUCUUUCUCUGUGUCCGAUUAAAACUCCAUACCCAUAAGUAUUGCGUGAGUGUCAGCAAUUGUAAAAGAUUAUAUGAUAGUUGAGUAUGUGGAAUUGCUGAAAAGCUCUUAUACAUUGACUCUUUCCUAUGUUAUGAUAAAUUGCAAUUGCUUCAAUGAUUGAGAUGGUAGUUUGUUAGUUUUCAAAGAAGUUUACGAUUCAUACUUGAUAUUGUGAUUGAAUUAUUACUCUAGCAUAAGAGAUUAUAUGACAAGAAUUAUAUAAGUUGUUGUUCUAAGAAUGAUCAUGAUGCCCUCAUGUCCGUAUUUUAUUUUUAUCGACACCUCUAUCUCUAAACAUGUGGACAUAUUUUUCGAUUUCGGCUUUUCGCUUGAGGACAAGCGAGGUCUAAGCUUGGGGGAGUUGAUACGUCCAUUUUGCAUCAUGCUUUUAUAUCAAUAUUUAUUGCAUUAUGGGCUGUUAUUACACAUUAUGUCACAAUACUUAUGCCUAUUCUCUCUUAUUUUACAAGGUUUACAUAAAGAGGGAGAAUGCCGGCAGCUGGGAUUCUGGGAUGGAAAAGGAGCAAAUAUUAGAGACCUAUUCUGCACAGCUCCAAAAGUCCUAAAACUUCACGGGAGAUGUUUUCCAACUAUAUAAAAAAUACUCAGCGGAAGAAACUCACCAGGGGGGCACACCAUGCCCACGAGGGUCGGGGCGCGCCCUACCCCCUGGGCGCGCCCCCUACCUCGUGUGCCCCCUGGUGGCCCUCCGGUGGCCAUCUUCUGCUAUAUGGAGUCUUUUGAUGGAAAAAAAAUCAUAAGCCAUCUUCUCGGACGAAACUCCGCCGCCACGAGACGGAACCUUGGCGGAACCAAUCUAGGGCUCUGGCGGAGCUGUUCUGUCGAGGAAACUUCCCUCCCGGAGGGGGAAAUCAUCGCCAUCAUCAUCACCAACGCUCCUCUCACCGGGAGGGGGCAAUCUCCAUCAACAUCUUCAUUAGCACCAUCUCAUCUCAAAACCCUAGUUCAUCUCUUGUAUCCAAUUCUUGUCUUCAAGUCCGGGAUUGGUGCUAGUAGGUUGCUAGUAGUGUUAAUUACUCCUUGUAGUUGAUGCUAGUUGGUUUAAUUGGUGGAAGAUCAUAUGUUCAGAUCCUAUAUGCAUAUUAAUACCCCUCUGAUUAUGAACAUGUUUAUGCUUUGUGAGUAGUUACUUUUGUUCCUGGGGACAUGGGAGAAGUCUUGCUAUUAGUAGUCAUGUGAAUUUGGUAUUCGUUCGAUAUUUUGAUGAGAUGUAUGUUGUCUCUCCUCUAGUGGUGUUAUGUGAACGUCGACUACAUGACACUUCACCAUUGUUUGGGCCUAGAGGAAGGCAUUGGGGAGUAAUAAGUAGAUGAUGGGUUGCUAGAGUGACAGAAGCUUAAACCCUAGUUUAUGCGUUGCUUCGUAAGGGCUGAUUUGGAUCCAUAUGUUUCAUGCUAUGGUUAGGUUUACCUUAAUACUUUUGUUGUAGUUGCGGAUGCUUGCAAUAGAGGUUAAUCAUAAGUGGGAUGCUUGUCCAAGUAAGGGCAGCACCCAAGCACUGGUCCACCCACAUACCAAAUUAUCAAAGUACCGAACGCGAAUCAUAUGAGCGUGAUGAAAACUAGCUUAACGAUAUUCCCAUGUGUCCUCGGGUGCUUUACAUCAUAUAAGAGUUUGUCGAGGCUUGUCCUUUGCUACAAAAGGAUUGGGCCACCUUGCUGCACUUUAUUUACUUUUGUUACUUGUUGCUCGUUACAAAUUAUCCUAUCACAAAACUAUCUGUUACCACUUAUUUCAGUACUUGCAGAGAAUACCUUGCUGGAAACCGCUUAUCAUUUCCUUCUGCUCCUCGUUGGGUUCGACACUCUUACUUAUCGAAAGGACUAUGAUAGAUCCCCUAUACUUAGUUCCCUACACACUACGGAAGAACUACUAUUGACCAAUGCAUAUGAAACUUGUGUAAAGCAACAUCAGUAUAAAAAUAUAACAAUCAUUUUCUGUUUCUUCUAAACUACUAAUCAAUAUGUACGUGCAAUGCACAUUAAUUUGGAAGUAUAUUAAGUGCAUGCGAAUAUUAAGUAGGAUAUUAUUUGCAUGUUAUUAUGUGAUUGGCAUUAUUUUUGGCAUGAAAUUAACUACACGCUAAAUGUGUUGAGCGCUCGACAUUGAAGCAGUCUAGGUCGUUGGAUUGACAUGAUUUGAUGGCCAAGAUUAAUUGGAUCUACCCAUUUGGGUCUUUUUAUAUUGGUAUAGAUAUAGACUAAGCAUUGCUUACAUUUCUUUCAUUUUCUAAUAACCAACACUGACGUAUCAAUCCUUCCUUCUUCUGGACAAGUGGUUUGUACAAGCAAAUAAAACAUUCCUGGAUCUAGCAUUGUGUAGUUCUUCUGGACAGCCACUAAAACAUCAGCAACCAAAUAUUGUGUAGUGAUCUAAGUGCUCACCGGUGAUUGGCAAUGGUGGGAAUGAUAUGAAAGAACAUUGCGGUGCUCACUUCCUGGAUAUGGAUGUUCAAGUUCAUCAGUGACGGUGAAGGCAUGAAUUCAAGAAAGAUAGAGGUUGUAGAGGGGGGAGAAGGAGGAGGGGGCUAACCUUGACCGAAGGAGGUAGAAAAUGACCACAGAACCAUCGUCAUCAUGGUCGCCAAAGGGGGUCGGAGGGGAGAUCCGAGGAAGGAGGACGGUGAUGGCCGCGGUUAGUCGCCGUUGCUGCAGGGGAGGACGUUGGAUCCUGAACACCGGAGGGAGGGAUCGGGGGAGUCGCUUCUGUCGUUGGCGGAAGGAGCUCGAAGGCGGAGGAGGCGGCGGCGGCGGAUCUUGGUCGACGGCGCAUUGUAUGCUCGUCUACCACUGGAGCCGUGGCUUUCCUCCCUGACCUGUCGGGUCGUGGCUUUCCUUCCCGUGGUAAGGUCGUGGGUCGGACAGGGUUAACCGUCGAAGGAUGCGGUCCAAAUGGCCAUCUCGAUUUCCCUGGGCCAACUCGGCCCGUGGUUCUCUGACCCGGGGAAACAGCGGGAUCCCCCCGGGAUACCUUGCAACCAAACGAGGCCGGAGUAGGAUUCCCCCCCCCCUUGGGCGCGCCCCUUGUGGCCGGCCGGCCUCCUCCUCCCCUGCUUUAUAUAUGGGGGAGGGGGGCACCCCAUAGACACACAAGUUGAUCUUUAGCCGUGUGCGGUGCCCCCUCCCCAGUUUUACACAUCGGUCAUAUUGUCGUAGUGCUUAGGCGAAGCCCUACGUGGGUAACUUCAUCAUCACCGUCGACACACCAUCGUGCUGACGAAACUCACCCUCGGCCUCAGCUAGAUCAAGAGUACAAGGGAUGUCACCGAGCUGAACGUGUGCAGAUCAUGGAGGUGUCGUGCAUUUGGUAAUUGAUCGGUUGGAUCAUGAAGACGUUCGACUACAUCAAUCGCGUUACUAAACGCUUCCACUUUCGGUCUACAAGGGUACAUAGACACACUCUCCCCUCUCUUUGCUAUGCAUCUCCUAGAUAGAUCUUCCGUGAUCGUAGGAAUUUUUUUGAAAUACUACGUUCCCCAAUAGUGGCAUCCGAGCCAGGUCUAUGCGUAGAUGUUAUAUGCAUGAGUAGAACACAAAGAGUUGUGGGCGGUGAUAGUCAUACUUCUUACUAGCAUGUUAUACUUCAGUUCGGCGGUAUUGUUGGAUGAAGCGGCCCAGGCCGACAUUACAUGACCGCGUUCAUGAGACUGGUUCUACCGAUGUGCUUUGCACACAGGUGGCUAGUGGGUGUCUGUUUCUCCUACUUUAGUUGAAUCAAGUGUGACUACGCUCGGUCCUUGUUGAAGGUUAAAACAUCACACUUGACAAAAAAUCAUUGUGGUUUUUGAUGUGUAGGUAAGAACGGUUCUUGCUAAGCCCGUAGCAGCCACGUAAAACUUGCAACAACAAAGUAGAGGACGUCUAACUUGUUUUUGCAGGGCAUGUUGUGAUGUGAUAUGGUCAAGACAUGAUUAUAUAAAUUGUUUUAUGAGAUGAUCAUGUUUUGUAAUAAAGUUAUCGACAACUGGCAGGAGCCAUAUGGUUGUCGCUUUAUUGUAUGAAAUGCAAUCGUCAUGUAAUUGCUUUACUUUAUCACUAAGCGGUAGCGAUAGUCAUGGAAGCAAUAGUUGGCGAGACGACAAGGAUGCUACGAUGGAGAUCAAGGUGUCAAGCCGGUGACGAUGGUGAUCAUGACGGAGCUUUGGAGAUGGAGAUCAAAGGCACAAGAUGAUGAUGGCCAUAUCAUAUCACUUAUAUUGAUUGUAUGUGAUGUUUAUCUUUUAUGCAUCUUAUUUUGCUUAGUACGGAGGUAGCAUUAUAAGAUGAUCUCUCACUAAAUUUCAAGGUAUAAGUGUUCUCCCUGAGUAUGCACCGUUGCUACAGUUCGUCGUGCCGAGACACCAUGUGAUGAUCUGGUGUGAUAAGCUCUAUGUUCACAUACAGCAGGUGCAAGCCAGUUUUGCACAAGCAGAAUACUCAGGUUAAACUUGAUGAGCCUAGCAUAUGCAGAUAUGGCCUCGGAACACUGAGACCGAAAGGUCGAGUGUGAAUCAUAUAGUAGAUAUGAUCAACAUAGUGAUGUUCGCCAUUGAAAACUUCUCCAUCUCAUGUGAUGAUCGGACAUGGUUUAGUUGAUAUGGAUCACAUGAUCAUUUAGAUGACUAGAGGGAUGUCUAUCUAUGUGGGAGUUCUUAAGUAAUAUGAUUAAUUGAACUUUAAUUUAUCAUGAACUUAGUACCUGAUAGUAUUUUUGCAUGUCUACGUUGUUGUAGAUAAAUGGCCUGUGCUACUGUCCCUUUGAAUUUUAAUGCGUUCCUAGAGAAAGCUAAGUUGACAGAUGAUGGUAGCAACUACACAGACUGGGUCCGUAACUUGAGGAUUAUCCUCAUUGCUGCAUAGAAGAAUUACGUCCUGGAAGCACCGCUAGGUGCAAAGCCCGCUGCAGGAGCAACACCAGAUGUUAUGAACGUCUGGCAGAGCAAAGCUGAUGACUACUCGAUAGUUCAGUGUGCCAUGCUUUACGGCUUAGAACCGAGACUUCAAUGACGUUUUGAACGUCAUGGAGCAUAUGAGAUGUUCCAGGAGUUGAAGUUAAUAUUUCAAGCAAAUGCCCGAAUUGAGAGAUAUGAAGUCUCCAAUAAGUUCUAUAGCUGCAAGAUGGAGGAGAAUAGUUCUGUCAGUGAACAUAUACUCAUAAUGUCUGGGUACCACAACCACUUGACUCAACUGGGAGUUAAUCUUCCUGAUGAUAGUGUCAUUGACAGAGUUCUUCAAUCACUGCCACCAAGCUACAAAAGCUUCGUGAUGAACUAUAAUAUGCAAGGGAUGGAUAAGACAAUUGCCGAGCUCUUCGCAAUGCUAAAAGCUGCGAAGGUAGAAAUCAAGACGGAGCAUCAAGUGUUGAUGGUCAACAAGACCACUAGUUUCAAGAAGAAGGGCAAAGAGAAGAAGGGGAACUUCAAGAAGAACGGCAAACAAGUUGCUGCUUAAGUGAAGAAACCCAAGUCUGGACCUAAGCCUGAGACUGAGUGCUUCUACUGCAAAGGGACUAGUCACUGGAAGCGGAACUGCCCCAAGUAUUUGGCGGAUAAGAAGGAUGGCAAAGUGAAAGGUAUAUUUGUUAUACAUGUUAUUAAUGUGUACCUUACUAAUUCUCGCAGUAGCGCCUGGGUAUUUGAUACUGGUUCUGUUUCUCAUAUUUGCAACUCGAAACAAGGGCUAUGGAUUAAGUGAAGAUUGGCUAAGGACGAGGUGACGAUGCGCGUGGGAAAUGGUUCUAAAGUCGAUGUGAUCACGGUUGACAUGCUACCUCUACAUCUACCUUCGGGAUUAGUAUUAGACCUGAAUAAUUGUUAUUUGGUGCCAGCGUUGAGCAUGAACAUUAUAUCUGGAUCUUGUUUGAUGCGAGACGGUUAUUCAUUUAAAUCAGAGAAUAAUGGUUGUUCUAUUUAUAUGAGUAAUAUCUUUUAUGGUCAUGCACCCUUGAUGAGUGGUCUAUUUUUAUUAAAUCUCAGUAAUAGUGAUACACAUAUUCAUAGUAUUGAAGCCAAAAGAUAUAAGUUUAAUAAUGAUAGUGCAACUUAUUUGUGGCACUGCCGUUUAGGUCAUAUUGGUGUAAAGCACAUGAAGAAACUCCAUGCUGAUGGGCUUUCAGAAUCACUUGAUUAUGAAUCACUUGAUGCUUGCGAACCAUGCCUCAUGGGCAAGAUGACUAAGACUCCGUUCUCCGGAACAAUGGAACAAGCAACAGACUUAUUGGAAAUAAUACAUACUGAUGUAUGCGGUCCGAUGAGUGUUGAUGCUCGAGGCGGGUAUCGUUAUUUUCAGACCUUCACAGAUGAUUUGAGUAGACUAGUCGUCAACCCGUGCAUUCGCACGGGCUAGUUUAGUAAUCUGCAAUAGGUUUAGUUUUGAGACUACAUUUCAUUUACCGGGAUUAAUUAAAUAAGGAAUUCUCAAAUUUCUAUUGGAACAGUUCCAUCUUGUCCUAUGACCAUACAUGUUCAACAGUCAAAUCUUAUGGUAGUUAAAAUUUUAUACUUAAAAUAACAGAAUAUGAAAUGACUCGCAUAUACUCAAAUGUUCUCCAUCUAGAUAAAAAUAAUCCAAUUAUUUAACAACCUCUAAAUCUUGGUAUAUGAUCCCUUCAACACAUUGAAAUUAAAUUUUGUUGAUUGUUCAUUCACUUGGCACCUAUUCCGGCCAGUCUCUAGACUACUUAGGGAGUUUACUUUAUAUAUAAGAUGAAAGAGCCUCACAAAAUCAACAACACAGACAAUUAGACCUUUUUAAACAGAAAAGGAAUAGAUGUACGCAUCAGCGACAAUUUUUUAGUACUUCUUUUCUUCUUUGAAACUUUUUUCAUUAGAAGACAAAAGCCUAGUCCAUACCUGAUAAAAUAAAAUCAUGGAUAGAGAAAAUGGUCAUUCCGUUGAGCUUGUGUACAUGUUGAGAUGGUUGCACUUCGGUGCAUCUGCUUUGCUUCGAUCACAUCAAAAUGUAUUUAUCUAAACAUGUUCACUUUCAUUAUAUUAGUCAUUUCCUAAAAAUAAAUGCUAAUAUAAUAACAUAUAGACAAAAGUAAACUGUUCCGGUCUCUAUUUAGAAUUCACACGAAAUUUGUCUAAUAAGGUAUAUACAAAAACCUUACUAAAAUAAUUUUGUAUAUAAUGAGACCAAAAUAAAACGUAAAUCCAUAUAUAGCGAAAUACUGAUACAAUAUUUACCUGAAAUCUUAGUUAUAUAUUCAAACAAACCAAUGCACAUACCUCGUAUCCAUUAUCUGCACCCUAUAUAUGUCGUUCCAACAAAUUAAUAUGCAUGUUAUUCCUAACGUGGUAGUUUGCUGAGUUCUCUUUUUUCGAAACUCAGCAAUGGUUGUUUAAAAUGUUUGUCGAGUGCCCAAUAAUAAGAACUUAGAAAAGUUCAAGAUUUCUCACGUCCGUCCAACCAAGUGUCGUUUGCUGAGAACAAAACUGGGCAAACACAAUGCCAAGUUGAGGCUUUGCCGAGUAUGCUGCAAACUUGGCGAAUUCGGCGAUUCCAGUAGUGACAUGACAUUAAUAAUAAAGUUUAUCAAGUUCACGUUCCAAAAAAUGAACAGUGUAAAAGAAAGUAACUAUCUUUCCUGAACGAAGACUAUUCUUGGGUGCAUGCUUAGUUUUGUUGCUUGUAUGUAAGAUUGACCUUUAUAACAUGUCACCCUGGAAUUCGGUUGCAUUUAGUUGGGGUACGGGAGGUGUAUUGGGUUCGACUACCAUGGAGGUAUUUCAUACGUUUACAUAGGUAUGGGUUACUGGACAAAUAAUCUGAUCAUAUAUAUGUAGCAAAAUAAGAAACAAAACAUGUUUAACAUAUCUGUCUACUCUCAAAAACCAAACACAUAUUUAUCAUAUUUUUACCCUAGAUUAACUUACAAAAAUUAUAGUGCAUGGACUGAUAUCAAUUUCAAUUGUUACUUAUUAGCAAUACAAAGUUAAGUACCCUAACAGUCAGAAAACCAAUUCGAGAGAAGAUAGGCAACUCUUACCUCCGAUGCAUUAGGCAGUGCAAAGUUUGGCAAGAUGGUGACCUGAUGAGAUAUAUGAUUCAUGCAUGGCCUAUUUUGCAUGGCGGGGUUGCCAUAGUUCUGCUCUAAUUCAGUCUCACGCAUUCACAAAGGUUAAUUAGGAUCCCUCCAAUUUUGUGAUCUGGUGGCUUUUGUGGAUAAGGUCAAAAAUUCUUCCUGCAUGAAAAAUCUAUUGCAUGGAAUAUGAGCAUUUUCUACCUUGCUGAUAAUAACCCCUGUGCCCAACAACGAUGCUAGCCUGCGAAAUAAUUCACUGGUCGUCCUGGAAAUUGAGAACAUUAAUCGCAUAUUAUGCUUGGAAACUGAAUAAAAGAUUAAUCGGUUGGAAUUCUUAUAAAACCCAUUAAAUCAGGCCCAACAUAGAACGUGAGAAACUAAAUGCACAUAUAGGAUAGAACCUCAGAAGCACAGUCCAAGUAUAAGACGUUACAAAAAACAAACUGGACUGCAAGAUAACUUCUUUUUUACUCAUACCAUGGGCAUCGGUAGUCCCUCGAUGGACAACUUCAUGGGCUCGAUUGAAUAGUUGUGCAUUGAUACGUCCAUACAAUCAAGGGAGACAUUGAUCUUAUUAAUAGAAUUGGCUGACAGUACGUCUCAAAGAUGAGGAAUAGGGGGGUAUCAAUGCAGUUUUGAUGGUAGAAGAAAAUGUGACAUGAUAAUUAGGGUAUAAAAUAUGAAAAAUUAAAAGACAACAAAAGAGAGACAAAAUCAGUGAUAAAAAUAUGAAACUUGUUUUGUUAAGUGAAUCCUCAUGCUCCAAAUAACAAUAAAUCACAUAGCUUGACUGAUUUGAGAGGGUAUAAUUAUAUAUGUAUACUUUUCAGCCAUCACAGACUAACACCUAGGGCCUACUAACACCUGUAAGUUGUUUGUCUUGCCUAGUUAAUUACUUAAUGAACCACGAUCUUUCUUAGAUGAACGCUACCUACAGACAAACAGCUUGUAGAGGUGCAUGUUAAAAAGACACUGUAAGUAAAUAAGAAAAUAUUAUACUACCUCAGAUCAAAAGUUUCUUCACACGCUUAAUCCAUCACCAGACCAGUUGCUUAAUGGUGAGCUUAUCACCGCAUCCUCGGCCUCGACGGGCUGCAGCAAAGAAGAGCUUCCCAUAUGCACCCUGGAUGGAUAGGCUAAACAAUGUUAGAACUGACAUACUGCAGACAAACAACAUUAUAUUUACCUAAUCAAAAGAUUGGGUUGGGUGAUGUUUAAAAGAUCACUGUAUAGUGGAUGGUCCUGCAUUGCACUUCAUCGACCAAUUUUGUAUAACCUGUGGAGGCACCCAAUUAUAUAAUCAGUAGAUGACGUUCAUCACCUGCAUUGAAAUCUCGCUUUUCUCAAAAUUGUCACUGGAUCUAACUCACUGCAUUAUCUUCGUCAUCUGCAACACACACACACACAUAUACAUACACAUAGAGAGAGAGAGAGGCUAACCACACCAGGAGAAAGUGGCCAAGGCCUAUCCGCAACGCCCAAUUAUGUAUAACAUGUGAGGCAGCCAAUUUGAUGAUGUUCAUCACCUACAUGCAAAUCUUGCUUUUCUCAUAUUUGCCGCUGGAUCUAACUUGAUGUGUUCUCUUCAUCAUCUGCAACAAACACAAAGAGAGAGAGGCUAAUGACACCAGGAGGAAGAGGCCAAGGCCUAUCCGCCAUGAAUUGGUGGAAUUAGAUUUAGUCUGGAGAUGUGAUUUGCUGUUGGAUCUAACACGCCGCCAAUGAAACGAAAGGCAUGAGAAAGACAAUUGCGGAAGAGAGAGAGAGAGAGAGAGAGAGAGAGAGAGAGAUGCCUGCGGGGAGGAGAACGCACUGAGGUUAGGCGAUGGAGACCACGACCAGGACCAUAGCCAGAUUGCGGCACGAGGCGACGGCAUAUGGAAGGGGCGAUGGAGACCUCGACCAAGAGCUCUCGAUCAUGGUUUAGGCUAAGACAAAUCGUGGAGGCUAGGGAAAGUAGAUCGGGACUCUUAUUUAGUUUUGGAAGAGGCCGUGGAGUAUGUUAAGUUUUUUUUCGGUGGAAGGACGUGAGGCUUUUUUGGGUACAAUUGAGAUUAGAUUUUUUUUGCUGGAAGGACGUGAGGCUUUUUUGGGUACAAUUGAGAUUAGAUUUUUUUUCUUUUUUUGGUGGAAGGACGUGAUUUUUUUUGAGGAUUACGUGAAGCUUUUAGGUACAGUUGAGAUUGGAUUUUUGUUCUUUAGUUUGGACGUGAAGUUUAGGUACAAUUGAUAUUGGAUUUUUUUUCUUUAGAGAAAAUGUCUUUUUCUGACUGAGGAUUUUAUGAUCGGAUCUACACCGUUAUAAUUCGGUCCCACCAGAUGAAUGGCUCGUAAAAUCUAAUUAACAUGGUAAUUUUGUGGGAGUCUGUAAUUAGUAUAGGUAUAGAUAGAUAGAUAUGGGUAUAUCUACUUGAUGAAACAUAAGUCUGAAACAUUUGAAAAGUUCAAAGAAUUUCAGAGUGAAGUAGAAAAUCAUAGUAACAAGAAAAUUAAGUUUCUACGAUCUGAUCAUGGAGGUGAAAUUUUGAGUUAUGAGUUUUGUCUUCAUUUGAAACAAUGCGGAAUAGUUUCGCAACUCACGCCACCUAGAACACCACAGCGUAAUGGUGUGUCCGAACGUCGUAACUGCAUUUUAUUAGAUAUGGUGCGAUCUAUGAUGUCUCUUACUGAUUUACCGCUAUUGUUUUGGGGUUAUACUUUAGAUACGGCUGCAUUCAUGUUAAAUAGGGCACCAUCGAAAUCCAUUGAGACGACACCAUAUGAACUGUGGUUUGGCAAGAAACCCAAGUUGUCGUUUCUUAAAGUUUGGGGCUGCGAUGCUUAUGUGAAAAAGCUUCAACCUGAUAAGCUCGAACCCAAAUCAGAGAAAUGUGUCUUCAUAGGAUACCCAAAGGAAACUGUUGGGUACACCUUCUGUCGGUGUCAAAACUGGCGGAUCUCGGGUAGGGGGUCCCGAACUAUGCGUCUAGGCCGGAUGGUAACAGGAGACAAGGGACACAAAGUUUUACCCAGGUUCGGGCCCUCUCGAUGGAGGUAAAACCCUACGUCCUGUUUGAUUAAUAUUGAUGAUAUGGGUAGUGUCGGUGUCAAAACCGGCGGAUCUCGGGUAGGGGGUCCCGAACUGUGCGUCUAGGCCGGAUGGUAACAGGAGGCAGGGGACACGAAGUUUUACCCAGGUUCGGGCCCUCUAGAUGGAGGUAAAACCCUACAUCCUGCUUGAUUAAUAUUGAUGGUAUGGGUAUUAUAAGAGUUGAUCUACCACGAGAUCAGAGAGGCUAAACCCUAGAAGCUAGCCUAUGGUAUGAUUGUUGAUGUGUAUGUUGUCCUACGGACUAAAACCCUCCGGUUUAUAUAGACACCGGAGAGGGUUAGGGUUACAUAGAGUCGGUUACAAUGGUAGGAGAUCUGAUCAUCCGUAUCUUCAAGCUUGCCUUCCACGCCAAGGAAAGUCCCUUCCGUAUGCCGGACGGAGUCUUCAAUCUAUCCGAACACCCCCUAAUCCAGGACUCCCUCAGUAGCCCCUGAACCAGGCUUCAAUGACGACGGGUCCGGUGCGCAAAUUGUCUUCGGCAUUGCAAGGCAGGUUCCUCCUCCAAGUACUUCAUAGAAGAUGUUGAACACAAAGAUAGUGUCCGGCUCUGUAAAAUAAGUUUCCACAUAUUGCCAUAGAGAGAAUAAUAAUAUUACCACAAAUCUAAUCUGUUGACGUAUUCCAUGGUGCGACACGCCACGGCCAAGCCUUUAUCUGAGUCAUUCAAUUACCCACCUCAGCGUGUCAUGCGAGGUGGUUUCCUUGGCAAUCUUGUUAAAGCAGAGAUCGUGUCCCCUUAUUACAGGAUUCUCAUCAACACGGGCGUGGGUAACCCAACCGCUUCUAGGACUCCUAGAUCAUAGGCAAGUCCAAACGGACUCGGUGAGGACGCUUGAUAUCCACCCUUCUUUAUAAAGGGGCAAAGCUUCUACUUUUCCCUCCCGUGCUCAAUCGAAUCCUUCCCCUACCUCAAGCUCAAACGCCCGAAGCUCAGGUCAGGUGCUCCGAACCUUCAGUCAUGUCCGGAUCCAGCCUUCAAGGCCGAUGGAUGCCCUCCUCCGUCUCGGAAGAGGACAUCAAAAAGUUGAGAGAGGCCAGGUAUCUGACCGCCGAAAUAUCGCAUUGGCUGCCUCCCCGGGGGCAGGCCGUCCCCUCUCCCAAACCCAACGAGUGCGUCGUGUUCGUCCCCCACUUCCUCCGAGGUCUAGGUUUUGCACUGGAUCCUUUCGUCAGGGGCUUGAUGUUUUAUUACGGGCUAGACUUCCAUGAUCUAGCUCCGGACUCCUUCCUGCAUAUCACGACUUUUGUUGUCGUAUGCGAGGCCUUCCUCCGGGUUACCCCCCACUUUGGUUUAUGGUCAAGACCUUUGAAGUAAAGCCGAAGAUGAUCGAGGGGCAACAUGCAGAGUGUGGAGGCGCCUCAAUACGCAAUAUGGUAGGAGCUCCGUGGCCCAAAGGUUCCAUCCCAGAGGUGUCUGCAUUGUGGCAACAGGAGUGGUUCUACAUCACGACUCCUAGAAGCGCCAAGUGGGCGGCCGCCCCCGUUUUUCGCUCGGGCCCUCCACCACGACUGAUGUCAUGGAUUAGUAGAGGACUGAGCUGGGGUCCAGCCAAGGACGUGCCCUUAUUACAAAGCCGCAUUCGAGAUCUCUUCGACGAAGAUCUCAGUUUGGUCGCAGUAAUACAAGUUAUGCUGGUCCGUCAAGUCCAGCCUUGCAAACGUCGGCCCCUUCGCUUGUGGGAGUUCAAUCCCGAGGGUCCGCGUGCCAUUCAAAAUUUUCUCAGCCUGACGCACGAGGAUAUGUAUAAGUUAUUCUUCGGACCUCAAGUAGAGUGUCCGGAAUUCACCGAGGACGUGGGCCUGAAUAGUAACCGCGCCGCCGAACAGGUAAGGAAUCUUCUGGCCGAACAUAUUAUCUCUCCUUCGUUACGAAGUUAUUUAUGAGAGUUUGCUUUUUCGACCAGGACUGGCUAGCAAAGGCGAAGUUGAUUCGGUGUUCGCCCCCCCCCCCUUCCUGAGGGUUUGGAGAAUCCGGUAUUGGAAAAGAUGCUCCAGGCCGCACCUUUCCCGGAUCCCUUGAAGGAAGACACUUGGAGGAUAAUACGGGCGGAUGCGGGCCCCCAACGCUGCCUAUUCUAACCGAGGGAGCGAGCGUCUCCAUGAAGGAAGACGACCGGAAGAGGAAAAGGAUCGCACCCGGGAAUUCGGAAGCCGAAGCUUCCAAACGGGAGAAGAAAUCUUCCGCCGGGGGCCCUACCUUGGGGGCCGCUGCUUCCGCACAAAGUCCGCGGGGGGAUCAAUUCUCCUGGGAGUCGUAAGUGACCCGAAAACUUUAAUAGUACAGAUAUGCCAUCCCUUUCUUCUGAGAAAAUAACCACAGCAUACAUUUGUGCAGUUCGGGCCUUAGCCCCUCUCAAAUGAGCUCGUCUUCAGGGGAUCUUCUUCCAGAGAUGAUGGAGAGCGAGACUCCUCCGCUCCGGAAGCGGGCGACCCUGAAGUGUCGUCGCGGACGGCCUCUCCGAGUUCGGAGAGGCCAGAAGGUGAUCCUAUUGAUCCCCGAGGCUCCCCGUGUUCGGCUCCCGAAGAGAGUGGACAAAAGAGUCCGGCGCCGUCUAGUGUGCGAUCGGACGUUCUGAGGGGGUUGGUGGGGCGAGCGGCCAUCUUAGACGAUCACCGUGUGCUGAUGAAUAUGGUGAUGGAGAGGAUAUCGUCCGCCGAAAGCGGAUUGCAUGAAGCUUUUAUGAGUCUACUGACAGGCUUUGAGGUACGUAAAAAAGGAAUGUGUAAUAGUCCUGCACAUGCUAGGUGUGCCCUAUGUAUAUAGUAGCCCCUGAGAUUCUGGUUGUCGUCGGAAACAAUGACGAACGGAGGAUCAUAUUCCCAGGUAAUAACCAUACUGCCUUGCCUUUAUGUGCAGGAGAUGGAAGCUCCGGUGGCCAGCCGGACGAGCCAGUUUGCCCAUUUAGAACGGCGGUUGGAUGCGGCAAAUGCUGACAUCGAGCUUGUUAACAGAAGGCUUGACGAGGCGCAGGGUAAGUAUCCUUGUCUAGUAAACACCAAAUAGGAAGAGUAUGAUGCCAGUGUUUUUAACAUGUUAUGACUGCAGAUGGAGCUGCCACUGUUGAAGCCUUGCGGGCAGAACUUGCCCGAGCCAAGGAACAAGCAAGAUUGGGUAAUGCGGCUGCUUUGAAGGCGGCCGAAGAGUUGCGAGCCGAGAAGGCCGCACAUGGCGAGAGCCAGAAGAAGAUGGCCAAUAUGGCCGUAGAAUUAAAAGCCGCCGUAGACCGUUGUCGGGCUCUUGAAAAGGAAAACCAGGCGAAGGCAUCGGACCUUGAGAAGGCUGCUAUAACGGGAAAAGACCUCCGCUCUGCUAUGAGGGCGAAGAAGGAGGAGCUGCGGGAAGCCAGGGAUAUUGUAGCCGGGAAGUCCUUUAUGCUACAGAGGAAGUACGGAGAUCCAUGGUAUGCCCCUCUGGAUCGGCUGUGGAGUUCGGAGGAUGCGUAUAUGGAUUUGGCGGCGAGCGCUGCCGAUGCGGCCAAGUACUUCCAGAGUCAUACGGACCGCGAAGUAGACCAGCUGUUUUGGAAGCAAUUCCUUUCUCCCGAGCGUCCGCUUUCGUUGACGGACCAAUUAGCCGAAUGGGCCAAACUGAAUAGGUUGUCCGGACUCUCCAUGAGGUCUGUUGUGGAUCAGCUAUGGCCUGGAAGGUCAAAACCGAGCAGCUAUUUCAGCUUGGUGCAGUAGGUCCUCGAUGUGGUGCCGCGCAUAAAUGCGAUGAAGAGGUCGGCGUGCAUAGAAGGCGCAUGGAUGGCCUUUGCCCGUGCUAAAGCGUACUGGGCAGAGAUGGAUGCUACCACUGUUGCAGCGCAUGAUUCGGCCAUAGGUCGAAGGGCUGCUGAGCACUACUUUGAGGAAGUACUUGAGGGUGCUCGUUUGAUAGAGACCCAGUGCUCAAAAAAUAUUAUGUUUGAGUGACAUGUAAUCUCAUUGUAAGCGAAAUGCUUUUAUAAAUUUUUAUGAGGCUACUUUUAUACUUUUGCCUGAAAGUAAUGUGAUGCCUCCUGGGCGGCCGUUUAUGUAUACAUGAGUAUAACCUGAAAGAUUGUAGUCGUCGGCUUCAACCCCCACGCAUAUAAUGCGGAGGUGUUCGCAGAAACACGCGUUCACACUUAACCCAAUGUCUUGGUCCUAUUAAGGAGGUGAUAGCCGAGCGAGCAAGGCUACCGGACUAUAAUGCUUUAACACUUUCACUUAGCCAUAGGAGUUUGACAGUGGGGCUACUAGAUAGCCCCUGGUGGCUCCGCACUCUCCCGAUCCCGGGGUGCGUAUAUGCCUGGCCGGAAAGCGGCCCUUCGUUAGAGCAGAGGAAUUCUAACAUUCCCAUGAGUCAUCGAGUGGUUGACCAGUCUCACGCUAGAUCAUGGCAGUCAGUUUUCGACUUUCUCUACUGAGGUGCUCGUCCGGAUAAACCAGGGCACAAUCGCAGUAGUUCUCCUGGUGCUACCUUAGCCGGUAAAGCGGAACAUAAGGCACCAAAACGCAGGAGCCGGGCAAACCCAACAUUUGACCAAAGACAAUGAUUCAGAGCUGAUGCAUAUAGAGCCAAACUCGCGAAGCCGAACACUCCCUAAGGUAUUCGGUCUUUGUGGUAUAAACUGGGCCUGAAGAAUGGCCUUUGUAAGAAGCCCCUUGUGUCCAGGUACGUGCAUUGUUCUGGCGUGGACACAUGCCAAGACGUCAGCAUCCUACUCAACAGUGGAUAUGUAUCAACAAGAGACAGUAAAAAAGGUUUACGCAGGGUCUUAAUCUAAAAAGAAUCCUUGGGUCGGGUCCCUGCUGCACGUCUGCGCCUGUGUCUCCGUUAUGCCGUAUCCUAGACGGGUGUAACACGAUGAUCAUCUGUAAAAGAGAGGAAUUUAGGUGAAAAGGUUGGCGUGCAAAAGGAUAGUUUUCUAAAGAAACCAUGUGUAAUUUAAGAUAAGAAGAAAUCACCACUCGUCUGCGUGCGUUGAGCCCCUUGUACUUUUGAAAGAUAGGGGUGUGACCGUUUAUUCGAUAUGAGUAGAGGCGCCGGACUUGAUUAGUUGUGACUGAGGUCUUGACGACCUAUUGGAUGCUUUUGCUGGUCCGGGCGCCUUUAUUGUGCGGCUGCCAAGGCAGCCUCACUCUCUUCUGCGCACCGAGAUUGCUUGAUACUUCCGUGCACUGAAAUGAUGCCACGAGGACCGGGCAUCUUGAGUGAUAGGGAGGCGUAGUGUGGUAUUGCAUUAAAGCGAGCGAAAGCUUCGCGUCCGAGUAGUGCUUGAUAGCCACUUUUAAAUGGAGCGACGUGGAAAGUUAAAUGCUCGCGACGGAAGUUAUCGGGGGAGCCGAAUAUAACUUGUAGUAGGAGGGAGCCCGUACAACGAGCCCCUGGGUCUGGCGUUACUCCUUUAAAGGUAGUAUUGCUAUGGCAAAUUUGUGUUGGGUCUAACCCCAUCCCGCGGAUUGUAUCUUGAUAUAUUAGGUUUAGGCUACUGCCGCCAUCCAUCAAGACUCGUGUGAAGUGGUAUCCGCCAAUUACUGGGUCUAAUACCAGGGCAGCCCAUCCUGCAUGCCGGGUACUUGAUGCGUAAUCGCGAUGGUCGAAGGUGAUCGGUUGGGACGACCAGUGGCGGGACUUCGCGGUGACGGGCACUUGGGUAUAUUUUUCAGGGAGUGCCGCAUUGUUUUUCCUCUUGAUCACGUGUAACACGUUUACUGUUUUGACUUCAGGUGGAAAUUUCUUUUGUCACCCCUUGUCUUGCUUGGGAGGGUCGUCCUCGUCUUCACUUGGUGUAUCCUCCCCCUUGUGUAUGGCGUUAAGCUUGCCGGACUGCUUGAAGACCCAACAUUAUCUAUGGGUAUGAUUAGCAGGUUUGCUAGGGGUACUAUGGAUCUGACAUACUUGGUCCAGGAUUUUGUUGAGGCUGGACAGUUCAACCCUGGUGCCUUUGGAGGGCGGCUUUUGGUUUGACCGAGGGACUUUGAAUCCGGCGUUUACUGCCAUGCCCUUCGUGCUGUCUUCUUUAUUCUGGCAUUUGUUAUUGUUGUUGUGCCGUGAUUUCCCAUUUCCAUCUCUAACUUCAGAUGUACUGGGGUCGCUGGUGCUGCAUCUAGCUAGCCAGCUGUCCUCACCCGCGCAAAAGCGGGUCAUGAGGUUUGUUAAUGCGGCCAUCAUUCUCGGCUUGUUUUGGCCAAGGUGUCUGGCGAGCCAUUCGUCGCGGACGCUGUGCUUGAAAGCCGCUAAGGCUUCGGUGUCCGGACAGUCGACAAUCUGGUUCUUUUUAGUAAGAAACCUAUUCCAAAGCUUUCGGGCUGACUCUUCGGGCUGUUGAGUUAUGUGACUCAGGUCGUCCGCAUCCGGAGGUUGGACAUACGUCCCUUGAAAGUUUGCCCGAAAGGCGUCUUCGAGCUCUUCCCAUCUUCCAAUGGAGCUUUCGGGGAGGCCUUUGAGCCAGUGACGAGCUGGCCCUUUGAGUUUGAGAGGUAAGUACUUGAUGGCAUGGAGAUUAUCCCCUCAAGCCAUAUGUAUAUGGAGGAUAUAGUCCUCAAUCCAGACCCCAGGGUCUGUUGUUCCGUCGUAUGCCUCUAUGUUUACGGGCUUGAAUCCCUCUGGGAAUUCGUGGUCUAGCACCUCAUCGGUGAAACAUAGGGGGUGUGCGGCACCCCUGUAGCUGGGUGUGCCGCGUUGUUCGGAUGUUUGUUGUGUUGCAUUGUAUGUUGGGGCGCGCUUGCGUGAUCCAUAGAUGUAUCUUGUUGCACCGUCCUUUGGGUGUGAGCCCUCGCAUGGGUCGCGUGUUGUAUUAUGAGCGGCGUUGCAUGCCGUUCUGCGGUGGUAGAGGGGCCGUUUAUCCGACCGGGUGGCUGCUUUGAUAUUUGGUUGUGGGGGGUCUGAGGCCUCCUCAUCGAAUUCGGGUAGAAGCUUCCACUUUGGGUAGCUCUUGGAGGGGCGAUUGUCGCCGUACCUUGCUACGGUGUUGAGUAUCUUGCUCCAUCUUAAUUGGAGCGUUUCUUGCGCGGCCUUGAGCCUUCGCUUCUGCUUUUUAAGGCUCCUCGCGGUGGCAACGAGCCUUUUACGGGCAUUCUGCUACUCCGGGUGCCUGUCCGGUGUUAUGUCGUCCAGACCAUUAUCCCUGAUAGGAUUUGUUUGUUCAGUUUGAUUAUCCGGAUUGUCGUUGUUCGGCAGUGGUUCGCCCUGCUCCAGCGCUGGGCCUGUGUGAUCACUAUUUCUGUCGAGGCGGGUUUUGGGGCGGCGCUUGCGUCACGGCUUUGACUGCUUUUCGAGGAAACAAUCCUUCGGUGCGUCCCUCCGCUCCUCGUCGUCAUCUUUUGGUGCGCCCACCAUGUAUACGUCGUAUGACGAGGUGGCGCUCCAAGGCUCAAUAGGCGCUGGUUCUUUAUCGUCUCCUUCAUCGGCGUCCAUACCGUCAAUGUCGUCGGAGUCGAAGUCGAGCAUGUCGGUUAAAUCGUUGACAGUGGCUACCAAGUGGGUGGUGGGUGGGCUUUGAACUUCUCCAUUGUCCGAAUCCCAACCUUGUUGACCUAGUCCAGCCAGGGCUCUCCUGAUAGAGAGAGAGACUUCAGUGUCUUCAGAAUAUCGCCGAAGGGCAAGUGCUAAAAGAUGUCCGUGGUAGUAAACUCCAUGACCGGCGCCCAAUCGGAUCCGAUUGGCAGGGGCGCGGGGGGUUCGGAAUCCGGAGAGGAGUCCGGCUCCUCGGAGUCACGAGUCUCGCGGAGUGCGGGGCUGGUGUUCGGCUCGAUCGCCGUUGGGAUCUCAGCCCCUGAGGCGGCGUCCAACCGCCCGUCCUCAAUCGGCGCGGCCGGCUCCGAACUAGGGGUUGGAGCCAACACGGGUGCGGCCUCCAGGGCACUGCUCGGUAGCAGAGCUAGAUCAUGCUCGUCGUGACAGUGCGACGCGCUCGGCAGUGGUUCGAAUCCGUCGAAGAUCAAGUCCCCGCGGAUGUCGGCCGUGUAGUUUAAACUUCCGAAUCUGACCUGACGGCCAGGGGCGUAGCUUUCGAUCUGCUCUAGAUGGCCAAGUGAAUCGGCCCGCAGUGCGAAGCCGCCAAAGACGAAGAUCUGUCCGGGGAGGAAGGUCUCACCCUGGACUGCAUCGCCAUUGAUGAUCGUAGGAGCCAUCGGGCCUGACGGUGAGGGCACAGAGGAACUCUCAAUGAAAGCACCAAUGUCGGUGUCAAAACCGGCGGAUCUCGGGUAGGGGGUCCCGAACUGUGUGUCUAGGCCGGAUGGUAACAGGAGGCAGGGGACACGAAGUUUUACCCAGGUUCGGGCCCUCUCGAUGGAGGUAAAACCCUACGUCCUGCUUGAUUAAUAUUGAUGGUAUGGGUAUUACAAGAGUUGAUCUACCACGAGAUCAGAGAGGCUAAACCCUAGAAGCUAGCCUAUGGUAUGAUUGUUGAUGUGUAUGUUGUCCUACGGACUAAAACCCUCCGGUUUAUAUAGACACCGGGUAGGGUUAGGGUUACAUAGAGUCGGUUACAAUGGUAGGAGAUCUGCAUAUCCGUAUCGCCAAGCUUGCCUUCCACGCCAAGGAAAGUCCCUCCCGGACACGGGACGAAGUCUUCAAUCUUGUAUCUUCAUAGUCCAGGAGUCCGGCUGAAGGUAUAGUCCGGCCAUCCGGACACCCCCUAAUCCAGGACUCCCUCACCUUCUAUCACAGAUCUGAAGGCAAGAUAUUCGUUGCUAAGAAUGGAUCCUUUCUAGAGAAGGAGUUUCUCUCGAAAGAAUUGAGUGGGAGGAAAGUAGAACUUGAUGAGGUAAUUGUACCUUCUCCCUUAUUGUAAAGUAGUUCAUCACAGAAAUCAGUUCCAGUGAUUCCUAUACCAAUUAGUGAGGAAGCUAAUGAUGAUGAUCAUGAAACUUCUAAUCAAGUUACUACCAAACCUCGUAGGUCAACCAGAGCAAGAUCCGCACUAAAGUGGUACGGUAAUCCUGUUCUGGAGGUCAUGUUACUUGACCAUGACGAACCUACGAACUAUGAGGAAGCGAUGAUGAGCCCAGAUUCCACAAAGAUGGCUUGAGGCCAUGAAAUCUGAGAUGGGAUCCAUGUAUGAGAACAAAGUAUGGACUUUGGUUGACUUGCCCGAUGAUCGGCAAGCCACAGAGAAUAAAUGGAUCUUCAAGAAGAAGACUGACGCUGACAGUAAUGUUACUGUCUACAAAACUCUACUUGUUGUGAAAGGUUUUCGACAAGUUCAAGGAGUUGACUACGAUGAGACUUUCUCACCCAUAGCGAUGCUUAAGUCCGUCCGAAUCAUCUUAGCAAUUGCCGCAUUUUAUUGUUACGAAAUUUGGCAAAUGGAUGCCAAAACUGCAUUCCUUAAUGGAUAUCUCAAAGAAGAGUUGUAUAUGAUGCAACCAGAAGGUUUUGUCGAUCCUAAAGGUGCUAACAAAGUGUGCAAGCUCCAGCGAUCCAUUUAUGGACUGGUGCAAGCCUCUCGGAGUUGGAAUAUAUGCUUUGAUAGUGCAAUCAAAGCAUAUGGUUUUAUACAGACUUUUGGAGAAGCCUGUAUUUACAAGAAAGUGAGUGGGAGCUCCGUAACAUUUCUGAUAUGAUAUGUGGAUGACAUAUUGUUGAUCGGAAAUGAUACUGAAUUUCUGAAUAGCAUACAAGGAUACUUGAAUAAGAAUUUUUCAAUGAAAGACCUCGGUGAAGCUACUUAUAUAUUGGGCAUCAAGAUCUAUAGGGAUAGAUCAAGAUGCUUAAUUGGACUUUCACAAAGCAAAUACCUUGAUAAAGUUUUGAAAAAGUUCAAAAUGGAUCAAGCAAAGAAAGGGUUCUUGCCUGUGUUACAAGGUGUGAAGUUGAGUCAGACUCAAUGCCCGACCAGUGCAGAAGAUAGAGAGAAAAUGAAAGUCAUUCCCUAUGCCUCAGCCAUAGGUUCUAUCAUGUAUGCAAUGCUGUGUACCAGACCUGAUGUGUGCCUUGCUAUUAGUUUAGCACGGAGGUACCAAAGUAAUCCAGGAGUGGAUCACUGGACAGUGGUCAAGAACAUUCUGAAAUACCUGAAAAGGACUAAGGAUAUGUUUCUCGUUUAUGGAGGUGACAAAGAGCUCAUCGUAAAUGGUUACGUCGAUGCAAGCUUUGACACUGAUCCGGAUGACUUUAAGUCACAAAUCGGAUACAUAUUUUUAUUGAAUGGUGGAGCUGUUAGUUGGUGCAGUUCUAAGCAGAGCAUCGUGGCGGGAUCUACGUGUGAAGCGGAAUACAUAGUUGCUUCGGAAGAAGCAAAUGAAGGAGUCUGGAUGAAGGAGUUCAUAUCCGAUCCAGGUGCAAUACCUAGUGCAUCGGGUCCAAUGAAAAUCUUUUGUGACAAUACAGGUGCAAUUGCCUUGGCAAAGGAAUCCAGAUUUCACAAGAGAACCAAUCACAUCAAGAGAUGCUUCAAUUCCAUAUACGAUCAAGUCAAGGAGGGAGACAUAGAGAUUUGCAAGAUACAUACGGAUCUGAAUAUUGCAGACCCGUUGACUAAGCCUCUCUCACGAGCAAAACAUGAUCAACACCAAGACUCCAUGGGUGUUAGAAUCAUUACUGUGUAAUCUAGAUUAUUGACUCUAGUGCAAGUGGGAGACUGAAGGAAAUAUGCCCUAGAGGCAAUAAUAAAGUUGUUAUUUAUAUUUCCUUAUAUCAUGAUAAAUGUUUAUUAUUCAUGCUAGAAUUGUAUUAACCGGAAACUUAGUACAUGUGUGAAUACAUAGACAAACAAAUUGUCCCUAGUAUGCCUCUACUUGACUAGCUCGUUAAUCAAAGAUGGUUAACUUUCCUAGCCAUGGACAUGUGUUAUCAUUUGAUGAAUGGGAUCACAUCAUUAGAGAAUGAUGUGAUGGACUAGACCCAUCCGUUAGCUUAGCACUAUGAUCGUUUAGUUUAUUGCUAUUGCUUUCUUCAUGACUUAUACAUGUUCCUUUGACUAUGAGAUUAUGAAACUCCCGAAUAUUGGAGGAACACUUAGUGUGCUAUCAAACAUCACAACGUAACUGGGUGAUUAUAAAGAUGCUCUACAGGUGUCUUCGAUGGUGUUUGUUGAGUUGGCAUAAAUCGAGAUUAGGAUUUGUCACUCUGCGUAUCAGAGAGGUAUCUCUGGGCCCUCUCGGUAAUGCACAUCACUAUGUCUACAUAGUUCUCGAACCCGUAGAGUCCGCACGCUUAACAUUCGAUGAUGAUUUGUAUUAUGAGUUAUGUGAUUUGAUGUACCGAAGGUUGUUCGGAGUCCCGGAUGAGAUCAUAGACAAGACGAGGAGUCUCUAAAUGGUCGAGACAUAAAGAUUGAUAUAAUUGACCAUGUUAUUCGGACACCGGAAGUGUUCCGGAUGGUUUCGGAGUGCCGAAGGGGUUACCGGAACCCCUCGGGGAAGUAAUGGGCCUUAGUGCGCCUGAGGGAAGAGAGAGGGCAGCAACCAGGAGGUGGCGCGCACGCCCCAAGGGGAGUCCGAAUAGGACUAGGGGAGGGGGCACGGCCCCUCUUCCCCUCUCCCUCUCCCUCUCCUUCCUUCUUCUCCUACUUGGACUAGGAAAGGGGGGGACCGAUUCCUACUUGGAGUAGGAUCCCCCUCUUGGGCGCGCCCCUUGUGGCCGGCCAGCCGGCCUCCUCCCCUUCUUUAUAUAUGGGGGAGGGGGCACCCCAUAGACACACAAGUUGAUCUUUAGCCAUGUGCAGUGCCCCCUCCACAGUUUUACACCUUAGUCAUAUUGUCGUAGUGCUUAGGCGAAGCCCCGUGUCAUUAACUUCAUCAUCACCAUCGACACGCCGUCGUGCUGACGAAACUCACCCUCGGCCUCAGCUGGAUCAAGAGUACGAGGGACGUCACCGAGCUAAAUGUGUGCAGAUCGCGGAGGUGCCGUGCGUUUGGUACUUGAUCGGUUGGAUCACGAAGACGUUCGACUACAUCAAUCGCGUUACUAAACGCUUCCGCUUUCGGUCUACAAGGGUACUUAGACACACUCUCCCAUCUUGUUGUUAUGCAUCUCCUAGAUAGAUCUUGCGUGAUCGUAGGAAUCUUUUGAGAUACUGUGUUCCCCAACAUAUUCACCCCACGCUAUUGCUCCCUGGCAAUGGCGCUAGAAAUAGGUCUUGAUAACCCACAUGUAUAGGGGAUCGUUUGUAGCCUUUUUUGAUAAAUAAGAGUGUCGAACCCAACGAGGAGCUAAAGGUAGAACAAAUAUUCCCUCAAGUUCUAUCGACCACCGAUACAACUCUACGCACACUUGACGUUUGCUUUACCGAAAACAAGUAUGAAACUAUUUUGUAGGUGUCAUGCUAGAACUACUUUGCAAGAAUAAAACUAGAAAUACUUUGCAAGAUAAUAAAUGUUAAGUGUUUAGUAAAAGGGUUCGUGUCAACAAGAAAGUUAUUUGUCCCCAGGCAACCGAUAACAAGUACCGGUAAUCAUUCUUGUAAUUUAUAUGAGGGAGAGGCAUGAGCUAACAUACUUUCUCUACUUGGAUCAUAUGCACUUAUGGUUGGAACUCUAGCAAGCAUCCACAACUACUAAAGACCAUUAAGGUCAUGAAACCCAACCAUAGCAUUAAGUAUCAAGUCCUCUUUACUCCCAUACGCCAUAACCCGCCUACUCGGGUUUAAGUUUCUGUCACUCUCACAACCCACCGUAAGCAAAUCAUGAACAUAUUGCAACACCCUACAAUGGGGGCCCCUCAUGUUGGUGCGAGAAUGGAGGGUAUGGUAGGACAGCACCAUAAAUAAAAUAUACAAUCAUACCAACCAAGAUCACGAUUAACCCACAGGACAAAACGGAUCUACUCAAACAUUGUAGCGACCAGACCUCAAACGGUCUGAUCUCUGUGCUCCGGUGUCAUCCCUGGAUCAGUAAUGCUGACACCACACAAUACUCGGAGGAUUUAUAAUAGAGUAGCAAUCACACACUUAUUACAUCGAGUGUCUCCAUAGAGAAUUUAUUACAAUAAAUAUGGCUUAAGGCCAUCUAAUAACGAUAACAGCGGAAGACUUGGAAGAUAAGUGAGUCCAUCAACUCCAACGGCAUCACUGAGUAUAGAACCACGACCUAAAACUCCUUAUUCGUCGUCUGAAAAGUCUGCAAGAUUAACGUUGCAGCCCGAAACGGGUCAGCACAUGGAAUAUGCUGGCAAUGUAACACAUAGAGAGUAAUGGAAUGAAACAGCUAUACUACAUGCAUAUUUGGCUAGUGGAAAGCUCUAUGGUUACAAUUUUGCGUAAAUCCAAUUCUUCCCUACUGCAAAGGAAUAAAUUUAUUUAACUAUCAUGGUGGUUGUUAAACAUUGAGAAUGGUUGACAGCAUUCUCAAUCCCAAUUAAACAUCAUCAUUAAUCAAAACCCAACAAAAUUAAUUUAGAGUAACAUGUUGAGAUUCACAUGAUAAUCCAAGUACUAGAUACUCAAGAUGUCCAUAACCGGGCACAUGGCUAACCAUGAUUAGUUUAUACACUCCGCAGAGGUUUGCGCACUUUUCCCCACAAGACUCGAUCGCCUCCGUUUGGUUUCUUGCACUACAGGGUGUUUGAGAAGACGGUUGACCGAGACAUAGUCUUUCAGAAGCGCUAGCACCUUACGAUGGAUAGAUCGUUACACCUACUUUCCCCUACAUCUGCUAGUCUACCCUGUAAGAGUUCACACGAGUUAAUCAACUAUGCUAGAGCCCAUAAUAGCUUGUGGCUGCACACGGAAGUUUCUAGUAUGAAUAAUCUCAUGAUCCCUAUGAGCCUCGGUGGCGGUCCAAACGAAAAUAGGCAAAUCCUGGAAUACCCAGGUACCUCAAUCCACCCAGAUGUGUGUUUAAGUUGCCACCUUAGAUAAACCAUUAAUUUAACAAUCUCACAUCUGUCAUGGAUACACUCACCCAAUCCAUGUCUACUAGCAUAGCAUGGCAAUAAGCAAACGUAGAAGUAACUCCCAAAGGUUUGAUAGUAGAUAGGUAAUAGGUACUACCUCAACUACUUCCCAUCCCACAAUUUAAUUAGAUCCUAAUCAUGCAAUGUGUGAGGAUUGAUCUAAUGCAUUAAAACUGGGUAGUAGUAAAGGUAUGAUCAAGUGUUACUUGCCUUACUGAUGAUCGGCGAAACCUAGCGAUUUGAAGUAACAGGCGGCACACUCCGGGUAUUCUAUCGCAGACAAACAAACAAGCAUACAAUAAGUACUCAUCUAAUGCACGGGUAAAACUAGAAUAAGUGAUCUAACCAGAAGGUUCAACUUAAGAACUCUGGUUCGCAAAAAGAAUCAAAUCGAACGAAGCAACGAAAGUCAAACGGCGAAAGAAAACAACUUCAUUCUAGUAAUCUGGAUCUAAGGCAAUUUUUACAGUAUCAAAAGUUUGUUUAAGUUGGUUAAACGGAUAGAGGGUUUCGAGACGAAACUCCAGGCGCUUGAAUCGCCUGAUUCCGAUAAACGAGCGAAAAGUUAUACUAAAACGAAAAUCGGAUCAGUAAUCGCGAUCAGAAAAAUCGCGGAUUUAAUCCGAGAAAAAGAAAAAAACGAACGUUCGUUAGAACGAACGAACGGACGAACGCUCGCUAUUUAAAUAAAUCGGAAAAACCGAUCUAUUAGAAAAACCGAAACUAAAAAAACUGACGGAAAACCGACGGAAAAACUGAACGGUUUUUCAAGAAAAAAAAUGGCGGCACGGAUUUCGAGGCGCGGCGAACCUCGGGCGGCGUGCGGCGGCGGCGACGUCCGGCGGCGGCGGGGCGGCGCUGGCGACGGCGGGNNNNNNNNNNNNNNNNNNNNNNNNNNNNNNNNNNNNNNNNNNNNNNNNNNNNNNNNNNNNNNNNNNNNNNNNNNNNNNNNNNNNNNNNNNNNNNNNNNNNNNNNNNNNNNNNNNNNNNNNNNNNNNNNNNNNNNNNNNNNNNNNNNNNNNNNNNNNNNNNNNNNNNNNNNNNNNNNNNNNNNNNNNNNNNNNNNNNNNNNNNNNNNNNNNNNNNNNNNNNNNNNNNNNNNNNNNNNNNNNNNNNNNNNNNNNNNNNNNNNNNNNNNNNNNNNNNNNNNNNNNNNNNNNNNNNNNNNNNNNNNNNNNNNNNNNNNNNNNNNNNNGUUUCGGCUGGGGCUGGGCCUCCCCCCCCGGCUUAUAUAGCCUAGUCGGGCUGGAGCCCUAGUCGGACACGACCCGUUAGGUCGGUUCGUUUUUUAAAAUAAUUACGCGCAGAAGAAAAAUAAAAAGAAAUACUAAACGGACACCAAAAAUCCCGAAAUAAAUUUUCCCGGGCUUCUAAAAUCAAGCCGCACAAGGUGAACAUUUAUUUGAGGCCUAAAUGCAAUUUUGAAAAACGCACAUUUUUCUUAAAUUCAAAUAAAAUAACGAAAAACUCUGAAAUAAAAUCUUAUUUGAUUUUAUUAUUAAAUCCUCAAUAUUUCUUUAUUUUGGGAAAGUCAUUUUAUUCCCUCUCUCAUAUUUUUGUAGUAGAAAUAAUUGAUGAUAAAAUAAUAAAAUCAAAUUAUCCUAUUCUCAAAAUUUGAGAAAACUCAAAUAUGAAAAUAAAGAAUUCCCCAACUCUCUCCAUGGGUCCUUGAGUUGUGUAGAAAUUUCUAGGAUCAACCAAAAAUGCAAAAUAAAAUAUGUUAUGCAUUUAUGAUCUAAUGUAUAACAUUCCAAAUUGAAAAUUUGGGAUGUUACGAACCUACCCCCCUUAAGAUGAAUCUCGCCCUCAAGAUUCGGGUUGGCUAGAAAAUAGGUGAGGAUGGUCUUUGAGCAAAUCUUCCUCUCGUUCCCAGGUGGCUUCAUCCUCCGUGUGGUGGCUCCACUGAACUUUGCAAAACUUGAUAACCUUGCUGCGGGUGACUCGACUGGCAAACUCGAGAAUCUUAAUUGGUUUCUCCUCAUAGGUCAAAUCGUUAUCCAACUGAAUUGCUUCCAAUGGCACUGUGUCUCUCAAGGGUAUGUCAGCCAUCUCCGCGUGGCACUUCUUCAACUGAGAAACGUGGAACACAUCAUGAACUCCUGACAAUCCUUCGGACAAUUCCAACUUGUAGGCCACUUCUCCCAUACACUCCAAUACUUGGUAUGGUCCUAUAAGUCGUGGCGCUAACUUUCCCUUAACACCAAAACGCUUUGUUCCCCAAAGUGGAGACACUCGAAGAUAAGCUCUAUCUCCAACUUCGUAAACAGUCUCCUUGUGUUUAGAAUCUGCAUAACUCUUCUGUCUGGACUGAGCUACCUUGAGUCUAUCGCGAAUCAAUUUCACCUUCUGUUCAGACUCUUUAAUCAAAUCAGGCCCAAACAACUAGCGGUCUCCAACUUCGUCCCAUGACAACGGUGUCUUGCACCUCCUUCCGUACAAGGCUUCGAAAGGGGCCAUCUUUAAACUGGUUUGGUAGCUGUUGUUGUAAGAGAACUCUGCAUAUGGCAAAUUGUCAUCCCAACUAGAUCCAUAAUCUAGCGCACAAGCUCUCAGCAUAUCCUCCAAAAUCUGAUUGACUCUCUCGGUCUGUCCAUCUAUCUGUGGAUGAAAAGUUGUACUGAAUUCUAGCCUGGUUCCCAAAGUUUCGUGCAACUGCUUCCAGAACUUUGAGGUAAAUUGGGUUCCUCUAUCUGAUACGAUACUCCUCGGAACUCCAUGCAAACAUACGAUCCUGCUCAUGUAUAUCCUUGCCAACUUAGCACUGGUGUAAGUGGUCUUUACCGGGAUGAAAUGAGCUACUUUCGUCAACCGAUCAACUACAACCCAAAUCGAGUCAUAGCCUGAACGAGUUCUGGGCAAUCCCGUGAUAAAAUCCAUGCCUAACUUAUCCCACUUCCACUCGGGUAUCGGCAACGGUUGUAACAAUCCUCCUGGCUUCUGAUGCUCUACCUUUACUCUCUGACAUACAUCACAAACUGCUACAUACUCCGCAAUAUCUUUCUUCAUUCCGGUCCACCAGAAAAUCUCCUUCAAAUCCAAAUACAUCUUGGUAUUUCCUGGGUGAAUCGAAUAUGGUGAAUCGUGUGCCUCUUGCAGAAUCAACUUCCUGAUCUCCGGGUCAUUGGGCACAUAAACACGGUCUUCAACCCAUAGGGUGUCGUGCUCAUCCUCACGAAAUCCUUUAGCCUUUCCUUCGCUUAUUUUCUCCUUUAUAGAGGCAAUCUCCUUGUCAGUCUUCUGAGCUUCUCUGAUUCUAUCCAUCAAAGUUGACUGAAUCUCCAAUGCUGCUACAUAGCCUCUCGGAACUAUUUUCAAACAUAGCUCAUGAAGAUUUUCUGCUAACUCCCUUGGUAUUUCUCCCGUCAUUAGCGUAUUGACAUGGCUCUUACGGCUUAAUGCGUCAGCUACUACAUUAGCCUUCCUGGGAUGAUAAUGCAAUUUCAUAUCAUAAUCCUUGAUGAGCUCCAACCAUCUCCUUUGUCUGAGAUUCAACUCCUUCUGGGUGAAAAUAUACUUCAAACUCUUAUGAUCCGUGUACACCUCACAAUGAUUUCCAAUCAGGAAAUGUCUCCAUGUUUUCAAUGCAUGCACUACGGCUGCUAACUCCAAAUCAUGCGUAGCAUAAUUCAACUCAUGAGGUUUAAGCUGUCUUGAGGCAUAUGAAACAACUCUCCCUUCCUGCAUAAGCACUGCUCCAGGUCCGCGUCGUGAAGCGUCGCAAUACACCUCAUAAUCCUUGGUCUGGUCUGGCAAAAUCAACACUGGUGAAGUAACAAGCAUUUCUUCAACUCCUGGAAACUAGCCUCACACUCCUCAGUCCAUUUGAACUUGGUAUCUUUCUUCAACAACCCAGUCAUAGGCUUCGCAAUCUUUGAGAAAUUCUCAAUAAAUCUCCGGUAGUAUCCUGCGAGUCCAAGAAAACUCCGGAUCUCUCCCACAGUGGUUGGUGCUUCCCACUUGGUCACGGUAUCAACUUUAGUGGGAUCAACUGCUAUACCUUCUCCAGAUAUAACGUGUCAGAGGAAUCCUACUUCCUUCAACCAAAACUCACAUUUGCUGAACUUGGCAUACAAUUGAUGUUCUCUGAGCUUUCCAAGAACCAAACGCAAAUGCUCCUUAUGCUCCUAUUCAUUCUUUGAGUAAACCAAGAUAUCAUCAAUGAACACUAUGACGAACUUAUCCAAAAACUCCAUAAACACUUUGUUCAUCAUGUUCAUAAAAUAAGCAGGUGCGUUAGUCAGACCAAAUGACAUAACGGUAUACUCGUACAGCCCAUACCUUGUGGUAAAAGCUGUCUUAGGUAUAUCUUGUUCCCGAAUCUUCAACUGGUGGUAUCCUGAUCGCAGAUCGAUCUUGGAAAAUACCUUAGCUCCUUGCAAUCGAUCAAACAGAUCAUUGAUCAUUGGUAGUGGGUACUUGUUCUUGAUCGUUACUUCAUUCAAUCCUUGGUAAUCCACAACCAUCCUUAACGAUCCAUCCUUCUUCUCCACUAGAAGUACUGGCGAUCCCCAAGGCGAAGAACUUGGGAGAAUAUAUCCCUUAUUCAGUAACUCCUUAAUCCGCUUCUUAAUUUCCACCAAAUCCUUUGCAGGCAUCAUGUAUGGUCUCUUUGAUAUUGGCCCUGUGCCUGGCAAUAGCUCAAUUAAAAACUCAAUAUCUCUAUCCAGUGGCAUGCCUGGCAACUCUUCUGGAAAUACUUUAGGGAAAUCCCUUACCACUGGUACUUCCUCCUGCACAACUCCUGUUAAGCAAUUUACUUGAGUCCUCUUUGGCACAUGUCGGGAUACAUACUUGAUCCUUCUCCCUUCUGGGGUGGUAAGAGAAAUUGUCUUAUUGGUGCAAUCGAUGUUUCCUCCAUACAUCGACAGCCAAUCCAUACCCAGAAUUACAUCCAAUCCUUGUGAUUCCAAAAUGAUUAAAUCCGAGGGAAACACAUGCCUACCUAUACUCAACGGCACUUGAAAACAUCCUUGACUGGCCAUAUACUCCGCUCCUGGUGAGCUUACUAGCAUAGGUGUUCUAAGAACCUUAGUGGGCAGGUUAUACUUAUCCACAAAUCCCCUUGAUAUGUAUGAAUGCGAUGCACCAGUAUCAAAAAGAAUGAGUGCAGUAAAUGACUUAACCAAGAACUUACCGAUUACGGCAUCCGGCCCCUCUUCAACCUCCUCCACGUUAACGUGGUUCACUUGUCCCCUGUUAAAAGGGUUCGGCUUCUUCCCAGAACUUCCAUUGCCAUUCUGGCCUUUAGGACAUUCAUUGGCAUAAUGUCCGGUCUUCGAACACUUAAAGCAAGUGACUUGGCUCAGGUCCUUGGCUGGGGUUGAUGAGUUGGUGCGAUUCUGUCCGUUUCUUCCUCCAUUCCCAUUACCAUUCCUGGUGCCAUUGUGAUUGUGCGAGCUACCUCCUCCAUGGGUAUGCUGAAAAUGUCCUCCCGAUCUAGGGGUAAAACGUGGCUUCUGCUGAGCUCAAGAAGUGUACUUCCCUUGUCCAUACUUCCUCUUGCGGUUCUCAAUCUGCUGCUGCUUGCCUUCAAUCAUAAGAGCACGAUCUACCAACUCCUGGUAGUUGUUGAAGGUUGCUCCCAUCAACUGCAUGCUCAACUCAUCGUUCAGUCCUUCCAGAAACUUCUCCUGCUUAGCUGCAUCCGUAGCAACGUCAUCUGGGGCAUAACGUGCUAAUUUACUAAAGUCCUCCACAUACUGGCCAACUGUCCGUCCUUCCUGGCGCAAGUUGCGAAACUCACGCUUUUUCAUGGCCAUAGCUCCUGCUGAAACAUGGGCAGUACGAAAGGCCUGCUGAAACUGGUCCCAUGUGACAGUGUCGACAGGGAAAGUGGCUGUGAAAUUCUCCCACCAUGAUGCUGCGGGUCCUUCAAGCUGAUGUGCGGCAAACUUCACCUUCUCCGCAUCUGUGCAUCCUGCUGUGGUCAACUCUCUAGCUGUCUUGCGGAGCCAAUCAUCUGCUACUAUCGGCUCGGUGCUACUAGAAAACACCGGUGGAUUCAGCCUAAGAAAACGGGCUAAGUGAUCAACAGGUGGUGGUGGUGGUGGGUUGUUGUUGUUGUUGUUCCCCUGAUUCUGAUUCUGGACUAGCAACUGCAUCAAUGUGUUCUGCUGCUGGAUCAACUGGGUGAGCUCCGGUGGAAAGGUAAAUCCGGGGUCACGUCUUGGAGGCAUCUGAGGGUUUAGAAAAGAUGAGAGUUAAGAAUGGAGGGGUCUAAAGAGAAAACACUACCCAUAUGCACAUGAGGCAAAAGCAAACAAUUCACUUCAUUCAAUCAAACAAGGGCAUACAAUCGAUCUAACUAUCGCAAAAGUGCUCAGACUACUGUAUUUACAUGAUGGACUACUACUACUAAUGAGGUGGUCUACUAGAAAUAUUCUUCGGUUGCAGACUCCAUGAUAUCUGCUCCGGCUUCAUCAACAUAGUCAUCAUCGCUAUCAUCUGGAUCCGAGUCGGUGUCGUCGAUGAUGAUGUAGUCUUCCGGGCUAAUCUCCUUGGGUUCUUCGUCUUCAUCUACUGGUGUAGGGCUCCCAUAAAUAUUGCUAGUUUCAUGGUUAGGUCGGCAUUCUUAGCCACCAAUACUUCAAUUUCCUCUUCAUAAUCUUCACGUGUAGCCUUAAGUUCUUCCUUCAGUUCCUUGAUUCUUGUCUUAGCCUUCUUUAGGUCUAUCAUGUUGGCGCACAUCUGGUUUUCCUGUCGUCGAAUGUGCUGGUUUAACUCCUGGAUAAAAGUUGCGAUUGAUCUAUCCUUCCUGGUGCUGAUCAUCUCCCAGUGUUCAUCUCGGCGCCCACAAAUCUGGUAGAUAGUAUCCUUGUCGAUAGACUCCAAUGCGUCUCAUGGCGAUGUGUGCUGCCAUGCUCUUUCCUAGACUCCAAGUUGGUGCAUCAAAAGAAAAAUCUAUGGGCUCAGUGACUGGCAUGAACGUCCUUCCUGGAACUUGAACUUGAAUCAUCCAGCGUUCUUCUUCAGGUAAAGUAGUGUUGUAGGUUCCGGUGAAGCUUGGUACUCCUAUGUUCAGGUAUCUAGUAACUUCCUUCAAGUGACAUCCAAAAGGUGUAUCGUCAUCUGGUUGCGUGAACUUGUUCUUUGCAUCCGCCAUCCUAAAGAGUAGAAAAGAUGAGAUGUCAGAAAAGAAGAGAAUGAAUAGUGAUCUAGGUCUUUAGCUUAGUGGUCAUGUCCUAUAGUCAGCGUGUGCUCUGAUACCAUCUCUGUAGCGACCAGACCUCAAACGGUCUGAUCUCUGUGCUCUGGUGCCAUCCCUGGAUCAGUAAUGCUGACACCAAACAGUACUCGUAGGAUUUAUAAUAGAGUAGCAAUCACACACUUAUUACAUCGAGUGUCUCCAUAGAGAAUUUAUUACAAUAAAUAUGGCUUAAGGCCAUCUAAUAACGAUAACAGCGGAAGACUUGGAAGAUAAGUGAGUCCAUCAACUCCAACGGCAUCACUGAGUAUAGAACCACGACCUAAAACUCCUUAUUCAUCAUCUGAAAAGUCUGCAACAUUAACGUUGCAGCCCGAAACGGGUCAGCACAUGGAAUAUGCUGGAAAUGUAACACAUAGAGAGUAAUGGAAUGAAACAACUAUACUACAUGCAUAUUUGGCUGGUGGAAAGCUCUAUGGUUACAAUUUUGCGUAAAGCCAAUUUUUCCCCACUGCAAAGGAAUAAAUUUAUUUAACUAUCAUGGUGGUUGUUAAACAUUGAGAAUGGUUGACAACAUUCUCAAUCCCAAUUAAACAUCAUCAUUAAUCAAAACCCAACAAAAUUAAUUUAGAGUAACAUGUUGAGAUUCACAUGAUAAUCCAAGUACUAGAUACUCAAGAUGUCCAUAACCGGGGACACGGCUAACCAUGAUUAGUUUAUACACUUUGCAGAGGUUUGCGCACUUUUCCCCACAAGACUCGAUCGCCUCCGUUUGGUUUCUCGCACUACAGGGUGUUUGAGAAGAUGAAUGACCGAGACAUAGUCUUUCAGAAGCGCUAGCACCUUACGAUGGAUAGACCAUUACACCUACUUUCCCCUACAUCUACUAGUCUACCCUGUAAGAAUUCGCACGACUUAAUCAACUAUGCUAGAGCCCAUAAUAGCUUGUGGCUGCACACGGAAGUUUCUAGUAUGAAUAAUCUCAUGAUCCCUUUGAGCCUCGGUGGCGGUCCAAAAGAAAACAGGCAAAUCCUGGAAUACCCAGGUACCUCAAUCCACCCAGAUGUGUGUUUAAGUUGCCAUCUUAGAUAAACCAUUAAUUUAACAAUCUCACAUCUGUCAUGGAUACACUCACCCAAUCCACGUCUACUAGCAUAGCAUGGCAAUAAGCAAGCGUAGAAGUAACUCCCAAAGGUUUGAUAGUAGACAGGUAAUAGGUACUACCUCAACUACUUCCCAUCCCACAAUUUAAUUAGAUCCUAAUCAUGCAAUGUGUGAGGAUUGAUCUAAUGCAAUAAAACCGGGUAGUAGCAAAGGUAUGAUCAAGUGUUACUUGCCUUACUGAUGAUCGGCGAAACCUAGCGAUUCGAAGUAACAGGCGGCGCACUCCGGGUAUUCUAUCGCAGACAAACAAACAUGCAUACAAUAAGUACUCAUCUAAUGCACAGGUAAAACUCGAAUAAGAGAUCUAACCAGAAGGUUCAACUUAAGAACUCCGGUUUGCAAAAAGAAUCAAAUCGAACGAAGCAACGAAAGUCAAACGGCGAAAGAAAACAACUUUGUUCUAGUAAUCUGGAUCUAAGGUAAUUUCUACAGUAGCAAAAGCUUGUUUAAGUUGGUUAAACGGAUAGAGGGUUUCGAGACGAAACUCCAGGCGCUUGAAUCGCUUGAUUCCAAUAAACGAGCGAAAAGUUAUACUAAAACGAAAAUCAGAUCAGAAAUCGCGAUCAGAAAAAUCGCGGAUUUAAUUCGAGAAAAAGAAAAAAAAACGAAUGUUCGUUAGAACGAACGAACACUCGCUAUUUAAAUAAAUCAGAAAAACCGAUCAAAAAACCGAAACUAAAAAAACUGACGGAAAAACCGAACGGUUUUUCAAAAAAAAAACGGCGGCACGGAUUUCGAGGCACGGCGAACCUCGGGCGGCGUGCGGCGGCGGCGGCGGGGCUGGCGGCGGCUUAGGGUUUCGGCUGGGGAUGGGCCUCUCCCCGGCUUAUAUAGCCUAGUCGGGCCGGAGUCCUAGUCGGACACGACCCGUUAGGUCGGUUCGUUUUUUUAAAUAAUUAUGCGCAGAAGAAAAAUAAAAAGAAAUACUAAACAGACUCCAAAAAUCCCAAAAUAAAUUUUCUCGGGUUUCUAAAAUCAAGCCGCACAAGGUGAACAUUUAUUUGAGGCCUAAAUGCAAUUUUGAAAAACGCACAUUUUUCCUAAAUUCAAAUAAAAUAACGAAAAACUCCGAAAUAAAAUCUUAUUUGAUUUUAUUAUCAAAUCCUCAAUAUUUCUUUAUUUUGGGAAAGUCAUUUUAUUCCCUCUCAUAUUUUUGUAGUAGAAAUAAUUGAUGAUAAAAUAAUAAAAUCAAAUGAUCUUAUUCUCAAAAUUUGAGAAAACUCAAAUAUGAAAAUAAAGAAUUCCCCAACUCUCUCCGUGGGUCCUUGAGUUGUGUAGAAAUUUCUAGGAUCAACCAAAAAUGCAAAAUAAAAUAUGCUAUGCAUUUAUGAUCUAAUGUAUAACAUUCCAAAUUGAAAAUUUGGGAUGUUACAAACAUCAUAGGAUAACCAUAGAUCAUUGGGAAAUAAUAUACGGAGUUGAGCACCAUGUUUAAGUAGAGAUUACAGCGGGGAGAAGAGGUGUUACACCGUUGCAUAGAGGGGGAGAAAGUUGGUGUUGACGGUAGCAAGAUUGUUGGUGUAGAUCGUCGUCCCGAUCGUUGCCCCAGUGGCACUCCGGCGCCACCGGAAGCGAGGGGGGAGAUCCCUCUCCUUCUUCUUCUUCUUCCUUGGCCUCCCCCCUAGAUGGGAGGAGAGUUCCCCCUCUGGUCCUUGGUCUCCAUGGCGGCGGAGGGGCGGGAGCCCCUCAGAGAUUGGAUCUCCCUCUUUGUUAUCUUCUAUUCGCGUCCCCCAGAUCUGGUCGAAAACUAUUUCUUAUAUUUCGGGAGAUCCGUGACUCCGAUUGCGCUGAGAUUUUAACAUGAUUUUUUUCCGGAUAUAAGCUUCCUUGCGCCCGAAGUUAAGGUCCAACCGACGUACGAUGUGAGCACAACCCACCACGGCAGGCCUGGCUCCUCUAGCGCGCCCUGGUGGGUUGUGCCCACCACGGGCCUCCGUUUGCGGUGAUUCCAACUCCCAAAAAUCAUAUAUAUAUAUAUAUAUUCCAAAAUAAUUCUCCGUGAAAUUUUAUUGCAUUUGGACUUCGUUUGAUAUGGAUACUCUACGAUACAAAAAACAUGCAGAAAACAGGAAGUGACACUGGGCACUGGAUCAAUAGGUUAGUCCAAUAAAUCAUAUAAAAAGUUGCCAAAAGUAUGUAAAAGUUGUAUAAUAUUGGCAUGAAACAAUCAAAAAUUAUAGAUACGACGAAGACAUAUCAGUUAGUGGAAUAGCUAGGGGUGAAACAGAGAUAUUGUGAUGGGAUACUUUGUGGGUUUUGAGCAAGUCUUUCACGAAAUCCGACAAUCCCCUCUUAAUAGUGCGGGAUCCCUAUACUCAAGAACAAACUGAAAAGGAGCCAAAGCUGUUUGUUUUGUAUCUCUGCUCUUGAGUGAUAUAUAUAUGUCCGUAGUCAUGAUCUACACACGGCCCUUGAGACAAAAUCCUGAGAUAUACUUGAUAAACAUGAUUAGUCCCAAAAUGCAUAUUGUCAUCAACAUCAAAAUAAGAUUAAGGGCAUGAUUGCACUUUCACUUAUAGUGAGGAGUGGAGAGGAUAGGAGAGAUCAACGGAACUGAGGCAGUGUGUGACGGCGGCGACCUGGAGGCGGCGGUGUGUCACGGCGGCGACCGGGAGGCGGUGGCACCGCUCGGUCCUCAACAAUGGCGGCUCGUUUAGGAUCUUGGAUCUCAGCGGCGGCUCAUCUCAGGGCUAGUUGGCUGUUUUUCCUUUGUUAGGUCUGAGCAGAGAUACAAAAGAAAACUAGACGAAAGGAGGAGGGAUGGAAAAAACCAGACCAAGGUGGGAGGUUGAGACGGAAAAAACCCAGACGAAACGGAGACUACCAAGUUGUCCAUUAGGAGUAGAGAUAGACAUUUCAGAAAGAGCAGUUCAAAUAUUGUCACGUCAAUAAAACUCAGCCGUUUCUCAUUUUGCCCUUGCACUCACCCAUCGCCGCUCCCUCUCACUGCAGUCACUCACCCACUCCCCAAAUCCCUAGCUCUCCUACACGGUAAUGAUGCGCCUCCGUCUCGACCGCAUCACCGCCACUCUUCUCUCUCUCUCUCUCUACAUCUCACUAGUGCCACUUCUUCUCGCUCGCGUUGUCGUCGAGCCAAAUUUAGCCCUUUUAGUGAUGUCGAGGAGGAGCGGGAGGAGCAUGUUCCGUGUCAAGGAAGAAGCGGGUGGAGGGCAUGGCCGAACGCCGCUGCCGCAAGCGCCUCAACAAGCUCCAUGCUCCGCUUAGUCGUACUCCAAGAUCAGCAAGGUAAAAAACCAAAUAUCCUUAUCAUUUUUACCACACCAAAUGGGGCAAUCAACUGCAUCAAAAUCUUGAGAGCAUAUCAAGUUGAGUGUGUGUUCUUGACCCAUCAAAAUCUCGGGAGCAAAUCAACCACAUCACGAUCGAGCCCCGUGGAAAGUCCUAAAGUCAGUUUUGGGCCGGUCCACCUGGCUUUUUUCGGUUUUUCUUUUUGUUUGUGUGUUCUUUCCUUCCUUUUUUUCUUUCUUUCUUUAGUUCGUGUUCAUUUUAUCUUUUAUUUUUUAUUUUUAGUUUUUCCAAUAUAUUUUUAAAUUUUGUGAAUAUUUUUUGAAAUCACAAAUAUUUUUUGAAUUCAUCAACAAUUUUUAUGUUAUUGUGAACAUUUUUCAAAUUGCAAAAAAAUUGUACAAAAUUGUCAACAUUUUUAAAUCACUAACAUUUUAGGAAUUCACGAACAUUUUUCCCUAAAUUGUUAACAUUUAUUCAAAACUCAUAAACAUUUUUUUGAAUCAGCAAAUAUAUUUCUGGGGAACAAUUAUUUAGAUUCAUGUACAUUUUUUGAAUCGAUGAACUGUUAUUGUAAUUCAUGAACAUUCAUGUGAUUGUUUUUAUUAAAUUCAUUAACGUGUUUGAAUCCAUGAGUAUCUGUUCGAAAUCUUGAACAUUAUUUUAAGUUUUGAACAAUUUUAGAAACCGUGAACAUUUUUUGAAUUUGCGAUGUUUUUCUAUGCCAACAAUGUUUUUUGAAUUUGAGAAAAGAAAUUCAAACUCGCAAACUAUCGUUCGAAUUUCUGAACAUCUUUUCAAACUCAUGAACAUAUUUUUCGAUAUCCCAACCAUUAUUCUAAAUUAAGAAUUUUUUUUAAAACCCCGAGCAAUUUUGCAGAAGCAAAAAAUAAAAGAAAAUAACAAAAAGAAACGAAAAUAGUAGACAGGAAAUCAUGGGCCAAAUGGGACAGUUGAAGAGAACAGAGCCCAUCAUCAAACCCGUCGGCCGACGGAAACCCGGCCCAUGCUCUCCCGACCACAAGGCGAGAUUCCAUUUCCCACCAACCCCUCUAUAUAUCCCUUUUCUCUUCCCCUCCACGCCCAUUUCCCCUCGCCUUUCCCCACCUUCCGUCCUCCCCCCGUCGUCGCGGCUCCAGCUAGGGUUUCUCGCCCCCGCCCUCCCGCCCCACCGCCGGCCCCGUCCGCCAUGUCGAAGCAAGGUCUGUCCGCUCGCUCCCCACCGAUCAGCGCGAGAUCGAUCUCGCCGGCGUUCGGCGCCGACCGAUUUGGUCCUCCGGGGUUCUGACGUCUCUUCCGGUUUCGGGGCUGUUUUGCAGGAGGAAAGGCCAAGCCGCUCAAGCAGGCCAAGGUCGCCGAGAAGGACUACGACGAGGUAUGCUGCCGUUCUGCCUUUGCUUGCGCUCCCGAUUCGUCGGUCGGAUCAUUGAUCUGCCCCUGUAAUUCUAGGUUUCGAGAUGUUUAGGUUGAUCUGGUGUAGAUCGGUCCGUGCUUGGUUGGUAAUUGCGGAUGAUUCGUUUGGGGGAUAUGAAUUUCGCGGGUUGCUAUGCUUAUGCGCCUGCUAUGCUGCACUGGGAUCUUUUCAAAAUUAAGGGUUCGCUUGUACUUAACGGGAAGGGGAAUUUGUUGAAUUGCUACAAAUUAUGCUGAUUAUGCUGGAUGAGAGUGUCACCUUAAUGCUAAAUUUGUGAUGUUCUGAAUUUUGGGCCGGUAGUGUGUGCAAGCGAGUGAGCACUUUAUGCAUCGGUGUCUGUUGCUUCAUGGUUAGACUUGGGAGUUUGCAUUUGUUAACAUCUCUAUAUAAGCAAAGUUGCCUUCUGUUCUUGUUUGUAUUAUCUUACACAAUAUGUAGUCAAAGGUGCAUAUUUUAAAUAGAACUUGCUGCAAAACAUGGAGUGCAUUGUCAUGUUCCUUUCUUUAUGCCAUUACUGUAAUCUGUUUGCUAGGCACUAACAAGUGCGCAGUUAGUCCAUCUUAAAAGUCAACUGUAUUUUAUUGGUUCAUCUAGUUAUGAAGGGAGCUGUGUAUUUAUUUAGUUGUUUGAGCCUGUUUGUUGUUUGUUUAAAUAGUUGUAACUCUCAAUCUCGGUCGUCCUAGUUGAUCUCCAGCCACAGUACCAUCCUCUUAUGUGAUGUUGUGAGAAAGGAAGGUGACAGUGGCAAUUAUGCCCAUGUGUUGUGAUGUUGUGAGGAAGGAAACUGUCUGAUUUUUUAUACCAUCCUUGUAAUAUGGCCCUGCUUUGCUUGAAAAAAUAGCCCAUGACUGAUAGAAGCGAUGGCAUGAGCUACUUCAGUGACCAGUGACACUUACCUAUACUUAUCAUUGUUUUGGUUUCCUCUGUGUUGCAGAAUGACCUGGCAUACCUCCAGAAGAAGAAGGAUGAGCAAAAGGUGAGACCAGUAGCAGCUAUCCAGUAUUUCCUUCUACACUGCUUGUUCUAUGACCCUUGUUACUGAUGUGAACUAUAUUAUCUUCUUGUCAACCAGGCCCUGAAGGAGCUGAAGGCCAAGGCAGGCCAGAAGGGUGCGCUGGGAGGAUCUGGUCUCAAGAAGAGUGGGAAGAAAUGAGUCUGCCCACCCAUUCGUAAUACCCAGAAAAUGAUAAUCUAUCUAUCUACCUAUCUGUGUCGCGCUUCACUAUCUGUGGUUGUAACAGACUACCUUCAGUUGUGUUGAGCAUUGUGCAUCGUCGCAGUAUGUCGCUGAAACCUAUGGCAUGUCAGCAGCCUCUUCUGCUUAUCUAUGAUACAGAUGGUCCGUAGCUAAUAAUGACAUGACUUGUUUUGUGAUGAAAAUCUCUGAUGUGUGCAUCAAGUCUUCCGAUUUCGCUUGUGUUG